rnacentral:lncRNA from 1 species
UCCAGCUUUGGAUCAUCCCUGAAAGUGACGAUCCUACUCCGACUUAAAGCAUCAUAGAGAUGAUCGGUAAAGUUGGUGCGGGUAUCUUCACCUCUAAAACUCAAGAAAACAUCAUAUUUCUUUCUAGAAUUGGACGAAGAAGUUGAAGGUAAUGACGAAAUGACGAUGUGCGAGAAAAAAAAAAUAUGUGGAUGUAGUGUUGAAAAUCAGAAAAUUGAUAGCUCAAUACGCCUGAAAGAAACUAGAAACAGAUCAGAUUUCACAGGGAAGAAUGAAGGUGGUUUCUAACCAAUUUCUCUAUAACCUUUUCACUUUCCAAAUGAAUGCGCGUACUUGUGGAAAUUGGGGGGCCAUAAAUGAGUGAUGCAUAUGAAUCCAACAAGGUGUGUGUUGAUAAAAUGGAGCCUACAAUAAUUGCAACUGUUCUUAAGUUUGUGCUUUACUUGCUUUCUAACUCUGGAAUUUGAAUUUGAAUUUUUUGUCUAAUUACUUUAAAAUAAAUAAAAAAUUUAAUAUUUAUUUUCUUUACUAAUAUGGCAUAUACGUGAAUUAACAUUCGAAUGACAUGUCAGUAUUUAAUUAAUUUUUUAAAUUUAAAAAAUAUUUUUUUUAUAAUUUUAAUAUUUUUAAUUUUUAAAAAUAUUUUUUUGUUUUUUAAAAUUUUAAAAAAUUAAUUAAAUAAUGAUGUGUUAUUCAUAUGGUAAUAUACAUGCAUGUUAUAUCAGCAAAGUUAAAAAAAUUAACUUUUUCAUCAAAUUUUGGGGUGAUUUGAUAAAAAAACACAAAUUAAAUUGCUAAAAAGACAAAAAAAAUUAAAUAAAUAACUAAAAUAAAUUUUUUAAUAAAAUUUAAUGGUUAAAUAAAUCAUUCAACCUGGAGGUCCAGUAAGGAGAGAUUAAACCUACAGAAUGGAUGAGGACUAAGCCUUGCAUGGUUUUUUGCUUUUUAUUUUUUAUUUAUAUUUUCUUUUCUUUUUAGAUGACACCGACCCCUUAAAAUGGAAAUUCUCCUUUUAUGUCCCUUAAAAUUUUAAACUUGUAAUGAUAAAAUUACACAUUGGUUCCCUUAAAAACAAUAAAAAUUCGAUUUAAUCUUUUAAAACUUAUAAAUAUAUAAACUAUUAAAAUGAUAAAAUUACGUUUUUACUAUCAUAAAAAAUACAAUUUAGUUUCGACCCCCUCAAAAUUUUUGACUUCACCCCUGCCUAUAUUAGGGCUUGGGGUAGGGAGUUAGAAGAUUGUCUUAUUCAUUUCUUUCUCGAUUUUGCAUGGAUGCAACGAAGGAGCCAUGUAGAGGCCCAUGGGCCAUGGCCCUCCAAUUUUUUUUUUAAAUUUAGUCCUUUGUAAAUAUACUAUGACCCUCCCAAAAAUAUAAGUAGGUCCCCUAAGGCUUAAGAUUUUUGUAAUUUCCCCCUUUAUAUAUAUUAUAGCCCUCCUAAAAAUAUAAGUAAACCCCUCUAAUAUUUUUUAUAGUAUUAAAAAUAACAUUAAAAAAAUUAUUCUUGAUAUCAAAGAAAAAGUUUGAUCCAUAUCACUCAUAUAUUAACUUAUCUCAAAUUAAGAAAAUUUUCUUGAUAUCACAUAAAAUACAACAAUUGAAAAUCUUGCUCACGUCAACCAAAAUCAUAUCUCUAAACCCUCAUAUUAGAAUGAACAAAAAAUGAAUCUUUUAAUUUUUUUUAAAUAUUAUUGGAUAUGAAUGUGACGUCUCUCACACAUAAAAGAUUUUCCAAUUAAUUAAAAGAGCAUACUCUUUAUAUUCAUAUUUGAAUAAGUAUUAAAAAUAAAUGUCUAAACAUAAAUACUUUAUAUAAAAUAUAAACGGAAGAGUUGGAAUAAUAUUAUUUGUGCUUCAAGCCAUAAAAUUUAAAUGGUACUUUUAUUAGAAGAAAUUAAACCUAUUUGAGUAUUGUAAAGGACUUAUAUUUAAUAUUCCCAAUAUAUAAAAACAAUUUUGAUUGAUUAAAUUGAACACAUAAGUUGAUCUCAAAUAAAAAUGAAAUAAUUUUUAACUUAGCCCAAAUUACAAUCUUAUCCUCGUUAAAGGAUUUUUCACUUUAUUAUUACCUCCUUUGUCAUGAAACUAUCCAUUUUUCCCCACAACUCUAUCUCAAAUUGAUUAUAUUUACUUCAACCUACAAAUAAAAUAUAAAUGUAAGUGAAUAUAUAUAAUGAAAAUAAAAAUUUAAUAAAUAAAUAAAACCAAUUAAAAUGUACACAUUUCAAUUAUGUAAAAAGGAAUGAAUUGAAUGACUAAAAUUUUGAAUAGUAAAAAAAUGUAAAAUAAGUGACUAAAAUUUUAAAUGGUAUAAAAAACCUAAAUUAUGAGAUAUGUACAUAUUCAAUACGAUUGUAUGGCUAAAAGUUUUAAAUUUUUUUAAUAUAUAUUAAAAAUAUCAUAUCUUAUACGCAAAUAAAUUUAAAAUGAUUAUUUUAAAUGAAAUAGAAGCAAUAGUACAUGGUUGGUUAAGUACUUUACCACAAUUAUUGCUUCUUCCCCGAUUGGCCCAUCAUAAAAUUGAAAAUUGUCUGCAUCCAUUUUGGAUGCGGCCCUUCUUCCUCUGCUUCCUCGUAGAUCUUACAUUCUCUGUUUGAUGUGAGAAGUGCUACCUACUGAUCUAUGGUUGUGAGCAGAGUGUUGGUGGAUGUGUUCAAAAUUUGGAGAAGAUCGAGUGGUAUGACACUGCAACUCUUUUAUUUCUUCCAAAUCUUUCUCAUACAUUAUUCUGACACCACACUUCUUCACCUUAGCAUUGGGUUUACAUGGAUGUAAGAAAGACACCUCAAGCUCACGGUCACCAUAUUUAUCCGCCAAUGAAAAUGGAAAUAAUUUAUCACGCGACCAAUAACGAAGAAAAAGGUGAUCUUUCGUUAUGGGCUGAUUCCUAUAUUUCCUACUGAACCUAGUAAUAAUUCUAGAAAAACUAGAAUGGAAGAAAUCCAAACUUCAACAAUUGAUAAAAAGUCAAAAGUUGGAAUAAUUAUAAAAGUUACAUUUCAGUUUAGAAAAUAUAAAAAAUAUUCUCUAAAUGCCUUGAUAGAUACUGGAGCUACAAUAUGUAGUUGCAGAGAAAAUGCGAUUCCUGUAGAAAAAUGCGAAUUAAUGAAAAAACCCAUAAAAAUAAUGGGAAUAGAAGGUAGUAAAACUAUUAUAAAAUAUAAAGCUAAAAAUAUAUCAAUCUAUAUAAACAAUGUUAGAUUUGUGAUUCCUAAAAUAGUAUGUUUUCCUAACAUGAAAGGAGAUAUAUUAUUAGGUAAUAGUUUUAUUUGUAAGUACUUACCUUUUACUAUUGAUAAACGUUCUAUUUGGCUAUCAGUAAAAGAAGAUUUUGUGGAAAUUCCACUUGAAGAAAAUAAUAAAAUUGUGUGUAAUAAAUUUACACCUAUUAAAAUUAAUUAGUUAAUAUUUGUAAUUUAUUACUAAUAUUUACUGAUUUUUUGAGCAGGCCUUUUAAUGGAUAGAGGUAAAAAGCCUAUACAAGAAACUGUAGGUGAAUGGACUACCGUUCACAAAAGCCCAACAAAGGGAAAGCAGGAUCAAACUCCAAAAAAGGAUUUGUACCUGCACAAAUACCAUUUUAUCUUAACCAAGGAUAUUAUGUGUCUUAUCCAAUGGUAAAUCAACCACUUGGACCAAAUGUUUUAAAAUAUCCAAUGGUAAACCAACCACUUGGAAGCAGUUUUUCUAACAUGGUGUAUCAAUCACCAAUGUCCCAAGAUCCAUAUUUAGCAUCACAAACCAGUUAUGCUGAUAUGAUCAAAAGAUCCGAAAAUUUGUUGAAAGAACAACAAAUUGAAGAUGAAAAAGAAAUUUUAAAAAUAAAAGAUUUUUAUAAUCCUAGUUUAUCACCAGAAUUUUAUGAUUUUAUAAACGAGAUAUUGUGAAAAUAUUGUGAAUUUUAUGUUAUUAAUUAUUAAUUAUAAAUUAUCUAUAUUUAGUGUUUAUAGUUUAGAUUAGAAUUUUGUAUGAAUAUUAUAAUUUUUUUAUGAAUAUUGUAAUGUUGUAUGAAUAUUGUAAUUAUUUUAUAAUUAAAUUUGUAUUUAUAGUUUUGGAUUAGUAAUUUUUUGUAUGAAUAUUGUAAUUUGUAUGAAUAUUAUAAAUUUUUUGUAUGAAUAUUGUAAUAAUAUUAUAGUUUUGUAUGAAUAUUGCAAUUUUUUUGUAUGAAUAUUGUAAUUUUGUAAUUUUGUAUGAAUAUUAUAUUUUUUUGUAUGAAUGUUGUAAUAUUAUAAUUUUGUAUGAAUAUUGUAAUUUUUUUGUAUGAAUAUUGUAAUAUUGUAAUUUUGCAUGAAUAUUGUAAUGUGAGGAUAUAUUGUAAUAUUGCAAUUUUUUGUAUGAAUAUUGUAAUUAGUUUAUAAAUAAUUUGUUAGUAAUUUGGGAAAAAUUCACAAUAUUUUGUGUUUGUAAUUAUUUAAAAUUUAAUUUAUUAGUAAUUUAGGAUUAAGCUAUAAGUUGUUGUGUUUAGUUUAGUAUUUGGUGAGUUUAACAUAUAAAGUUUAUAAAAAAAUUUAAAAUCAUUUCAUUAAAAGUUUAAUUAUAAAAAAAUUAAAAAUCAUUUUAUUAAAAGUUUGGGUUUUUUACACCAAUAAUAUAGAAAAAAAAUAUUGAAAUAGGAUGUCAGAAAAAAAUUUACCAAAAAAUAACUGACUUUUUUAAUCAUAUAGUUGUUGUUAACUUAUUUAAUUUUUAUAUAAUGUAACUUUUAUAUAAUUAAAUUUUAUUUGAUUUUGUAUUUAUUUAACAGUAAUUAUUGAUUUUUUGAAACAAAUUAACUGAAUUCAUUUUUUUUAUUGCAGAUUUGCAAGAAAUGGGUUCUCUAAUUAAUAAUAAUAAUCACAUAUCAAGUACUAUUAAUGAGAUGGUAAUAAAAUUUAAUUUUGAUAAUCAUGUUAUUUGUUAAAUUAAAUUAUAUUGUAUUAACUAUUUUGCUAAUUUAAUAAUGUCAGGGUCCGUACCGCGCAUUGAGGGGCCGUGUUAAUUGUGUAGGGUUUCAGCCAGAUGAACGCCUAAUACCAUACUUAGAGUUAGCCGGGUUCGGAUCAGCGGCAUUGAUUCGGACUUUUGAUCUGCGAUACGACUUGAUUUCCGCUUUAGUCGAGCGAUGGCGUCUGGAAACCCACACAUUUCAUCUGCCGUGCGGAGAGUGUACCGUCACUCUAGAGGACGUUGCAGUACAGCUCAGGCUUCCCAUAGACGGGAAUGCGAUCACGGGCAUAAGUUCAAUCUCUAGGCCGGCUACCCUUUGCAAUGAAUUACUUGGACGCUCGCCAAGUCAGGGGAAAUUUACCAGUUUGAAAUUUUCAUGGCUACAUGCCAAUUUUGAGCAUUUGUCAAGUACUGCUAAUGAACGGGAGGUGAUGCAGGCUGUUCGAGCUUAUAUUAUGCACCUUAUAGGGGGUGUACUCAUGCCGGAUGCAAACGGCAGUAAGAUCCACUUGAUGUACUUACCCUUAUUAUCCAAUUUGCAUAACACUCGUUCAUACAGUUGGGGGUCCGCAGUUUUAGCCAUUCUGUAUCGCGAACUUUGUUGGACAACAAAUCCUUCUGCGGCUGACAUUGGCGGAUGCCUCAUACUGCUGCAGUCGUGGGCACUUUACCGGAUGCCAUUCUUGGCAUCCAUUAGUCAUCAAUCAUAUGUAUUUCCACUAGUUAAUAGGUGAUGAAUUUUUACUCAUUAUAAUAAUUAGUUGACUUUUUUAUAAUAUAUUAUUCUAACAAUUUGUUUUCGUAGGUGGAGAAGUAAUCCGGGGAUUGGGAGGUCACCGUCGGUUCCGAUAUAUCGUUUAAUGAUUGAGAAUCAUGCUGGAGAGGGGGUACGUUUUUCGAAUAUAAACUCAAUUUUAUUAUUUUAUCUCACUCGACCCGCGUUAAUAUAACAACGUUAUUAAUUGUGCAGUUCAUUUGGAUGUCGUAUUCUGCUCCAGAAAUUAUGGCAGUUAUGCCAUCAUCGGCCCGCGUCCACUCAAACCUAUGGUGUAUUAGCGCACCCAUUAUCAAUUUUAACGUAGUGGAGUGGUAUCAUGGCAAUCGAGUACUCCGACAGUUCGGUUGCAUACAGUAUAUCCCGACAUUGCCAGUACAAUUGGGGGAGAUCCAUGGGAUGAGCAAGAAGGGGAGGUAUGGAGAUAAUUGGGAAGAAGUGCACGAAGAGUAUAUCACGAUAUGGAACAACCGGUUCGGGAUGGUACCUCAGAUGGAUCGUGCUCCGGAUUUGCAGCCCUCGUUAGAGUAUAUACAGUGGUACUGUGAGACAGGGAAACCAUUUCUGUUUGGUGGGCGAUCGAUUGUAGUCCCUCCGUAUACGACACAAAUUACGCAACCCUUUGGAAAUCUGCAUCAUGCACCAGAGCCAGAGCCAGGGCCAGAGCCAGAGCCAGAGCCAGAGCCAGAGCCAGAGCGAGAGGCAGAACUACAUUCUAGGGAUAGUUCUUAUCAUCCAGAAUUAGGGGGCGAUGACUAUUUUGUGGCCUCGUAUCCACCUAAGUACUCUGCUCCUUCUGGCCAAUAUCCGCCGUCAUACUCCUCUCCUCCCGGAUCAAGUUCAUCGAUGGCAUUUGAGACAUAUGAUUAUUUGUCUAUGUUUCACACACCCCAACAUACUGUUGAGGAGAAUGUUGAUAACCGUAAUCGCCCACAACGUCAGCGUCGAGCUCCACAAAAAUAUACCCCUAGAACCACACCAUCAAACCAUCAAUUUUAGGGGUUUUCUAAUAAACACCCGUAUAUUUAUGUAAUGAUAGUUCUUAUCUAAAUAAAAUUACAAUGGUUUAAAAAUGUCUCCAUAACUGCAACAAAUUGUAGACAAUUUUGUGAUUCAAACCAUAUCUAUGUAAUGAAGUACAUAUCAAUUUCUACUCGAUUGAGACGAUUGUCCAACAUGGUAGUUUCGGAGAGGGCAUUUACUUCGAUUAUGACCGGGUAAUCUGCAUACGCCACACAAAUUCCAGUCAGAUUUCUCCCUAAUGUCCAUUUCGUUAUGGAUUCUGGAUGAUUGCGGACGACCUUUCAGGUUUCUACGCAACCUUAUGUCUGGGACUAGCUCGAAGGUUGCCGGAGGUACCUCCCAAGUAGAUAGGUCAGGAAGCACGGGGAACUCGUUUUCCCAUACACGCAACGUGCGUUCGAUGGUGUACACUUCAUCUAUAAAUUGUUCUACAUUGAGCCCAACUUUAGCACAAGUUGCCACGACGUGUGCACAUGGAAAAUGAAGUGUUUGAAACCUUCUACAAUCGCACCGUCUAUUUCGGAGAUCAACUCCGUAGGACCUAGGUGGUAUACUGGGUCGACGACUGAUGGUCUCUGUAACUCGAAACGUUUCAUUAUGUCGUGAAUAUACUUCUACUGUCAUCGACCUCGCCAUUCGACGGUUUACAACCAUUGCAUCCCUAAUGCCUUCGACAAAGACAUGGCCCGCCUCCAUCUGGUUCACUUGUUGCUGACCCAUUCUUGGCAUCAAGGUAUCCAACCUGAAGAACGUUGCCGAGAAGACAGAUGAAAUUGGAAGAUGCCGUGUUUUUAAUAACACAGCGUUGAUCCCCUCCACUAAGUUUGUAGUCAUUUGACCAUAACGAAAGCCCUCGUCAAAACUUUGAGCCCAUUGCCACGGCUCCAUGAUACCCAGCCACUGCCGGAAAGAUGUGUUGGUUUGACCCUCCAUGUCACUCUCAAGCCGGGCCAUUCUUUGGCGAAAAAUGUGUGGCUCUAACUCGUACGCUGCAUAUAUAUUGAAAAAAAUUUAAGUUACAGUAUUGCUCUAAAACAUUAAAACUUAUAUUUAAAAGAUAAGGUAAUUCUUUACCCAUUCUCACAACUUGUCUCUUCCAGUCUGCAUUCUUAUAAUCUCGCUGGAAGUUAGCCGCGAUGUGCCGGAUGCAGUAAACAGAUCGCCAUGGUACACCAGAACGCCUAAUGGCUGCAAUUAAUCAUUUUCCUCUAUCGGAAAUGAUGCAAAUAUUAUCAUUGCUAAUCACAUACCUCCGCAGGUUGGUAAGAAAGAACUCCCACGAUUUCAUGUUCUCCUUAUCGACGAUGGCAAAUGCUAUCGGGAGUACGUUCCUGUUGCCGUCUUGAGCAAUCGCAAGAAGUAAGAUCUGUGUGUAUUUUCCAUAUAGCCAGGUUCCAUCUACUUGCACAAAUGGUUUGCAGUGGGGAAAUGCGCGCACACAUUGAUCAAAAGUCCAGAACAUCCGAUGGAAAAUUCUUUUUCUCGAUUGUAGUUGGUCAUUUGGACCGUCAUAAGAUCGUGUCUGCAACUCAAUUACAGUCCCCGGUACGUGUUCCCUCAUGGCGGCUAUCCAUCUCUGUAAUUCAUUGUACGAUGCAUCGAAAUCUCCGUACAAUUGCUCCAUUGCCAUCUGUUUAGCUAUCCAUGCCUUCCGGUAUGAUACUCGAUACUGGAAUCGUGCUUGUAUUUCAGCAAUCAGUACCGAAACUUUAAUGGUCGGCAUGUCUUUCACCAUUGGCAUGAUGCAUGUACAGAUAGUUUUGGAGUCAAGUUUUUGAUGAUCUUCUGUCAGACGUGUUGAAGUGCAUGUGUGGGGCUCCACAAAUUUUCGUAUUUCCCACAUCUGCGACUUCUACAUAAAUGCAGCUCGUACCCGCCAAUUGCAGCCUUCUGCCAACCUCCAACACUCUCCAAUAUAUAAUGUUGGUUUAGACUCGAUGACUUUGUAAUCUACUGAUAUAUUCAUGCUAUACCGCUUAAUCGCAAACAUACAUUCUUCCUUACUUUCAAAUCUCUGGCCUACGCGUAACUCAUCUAGAUCAUAAUAUACGCUCAUUCGGUAACCAUAUGGUAUUUCAGGGUACUCCGGAAACUCAGCUGCCCGUGCCGCAUCGGGGUCUAUCCGAGACAUGUGUGCCCCAGGAUUAUUGUGUAUCACAAUACGAUGAAUCUGGUUUCCGAUUGAAGACGCAUUAACAUUUCCAUCCUCAUUCACCCCUUCAUCGUCAAUAUCAUCCGCGACCUCGUCUGCGUCGGGAUCACUCUCACUAUCCACUUCGUAAUCAACAGGAUCACUACUAUAGUAUACAUCAUCACCAACCACAUCAGUCUUGGCUGCAGCAUUAAGAUCAAUAUUUAUCCCAUGUAUAGGUGAUUGGCUAUCAACAUACGAUACCGGAACCACCAUACACGGCGCUUCAACUCCAUCUUCUUCACCUAAUGGAGUGGGAUCUUCAGUUGCCUCCACACUGGCUAACUCAGCAAAUAACUGAAUCGGUGUAUUUUUGUUACUCGAAGUCCCACAAUAAAGAGCGACCAUUGUUUCCACGUCUUCAUCAUCUACAAGUUCCAUUUCGGUAAAUUUUAUUGGAUCUGUUGAUAUUGGAAACUUGUAGAAAACUUUUGAUAUCCUUCUCCCACAACGUCUAUAAAUUUUUUCACUAAUUUUUUCCUUCAUAUCAUCAAACGAGAUAUUUCUAUCAAAUCUCAUUGCUACUUGUUUGCGACAUUCAAAUAUACAUCCCACAGUUGUUGUUAAAAUUUCUCCAUCGAAAUAAACGCAUACAAAAAACUGAUUCUCCAUUUUCAAUACUAGAUCUGUAAAAAAAGAAUUUCAAAUUUCUUAAAACUGUUUCAAAAUGUAAACAAAAUACAUAAAAAUUGCAAAAUUACAAUAUUACAAUAUUCAUACAAAAAAAUUGCAAUAUUCAUACAAAAUUAUAAUAUUACAACAUUCAUACAAAAAAAUAUAAUAUUCAUACAAAAUUACAAAAUUACAAUAUUCAUACAAAAAAAUUGCAAUAUUCAUACAAAACUAUAAUAUUAUUACAAUAUUCAUACAAAAAAUUUAUAAUAUUCAUACAAAAUUACAAUAUUCAUACAAAAAAUUACUAAUCCAAAACUAUAAAUACAAAUUUAAUUAUAAAAUAAUUACAAUAUUCAUACAACAUUACAAUAUUCAUAAAAAAAUUAUAAUAUUCAUACAAAAUUCUAAUCUAAACUAUAAACACUAAAUAUAGAUAAUUUAUAAUUAAUAAUUAAUAACAUAAAAUUCACAAUAUUUUCUAAAAUAUAUACUAAAAAAUUCACAAACUAUAAACUUAUUAAAUUAUAAACAAAAUUAUUUAUUAAAAAAAUACAUUACCUUUUUUAUAAACUUUCUUCUUCUUCUUCUUCUCUUCUUCUUCUUCUCCUUCUCCUCUUCUUCUUUCUCUCUUUUUUUUUCUCUACCGUCUGGAGCUUGGUUCAUUUGCUAUUACUUAUAGCAAAAAUAAAAUUGUUUUGAAGGGACAUUUCAAUGGCAUGGCAGCAGCAUGCCUACUUGAUAGGCCCCACCCGACCCGACCCGACCGUAUUUUGACCCGUAUUUUUUUUAAAAAUAUUAAAAAAAUAUAAAAUUAUAUUUUAAUAAAUUUUUUUAUUAUUAUUUUAUUCAUUGGCGCCUAUCUAAUAGGCUCCAAUGAAAAAGUAACCUAUUUUGGUAAAAUUUUUUUCUGACAUACUAUUUCAGUAAUUUUUUUUCUAUCCUAAUUAGGUAAAAAACCCUCAUACUGGACUAUCAAGAAAUUAUCCUCUCAAACCUCGCAUGUAGCGGGCACACUUGGUUACAUGGCUCCUGAGCAUGCAAGAACUGGGAAAGCAAACACAAGCACUGAUAUAUAUGCAUUUGGAAUUUUCAUGCUCGAAAUUACUUGGGGUAGAAGGCUGAUCUAAGCACGAGCAUCGCCGGAUGAAAAUUUUCUUGCUGAUUGGAUAAUGGAUUGCUGGGAUAAAGGAGGCAUUUUGGCGGUUGUCGAUGGGAUGUUGGAAAAGAAGUUUGUGGUACAAGAAGCGGCCUUUGUGACUCGUAUCAGAAGCAGAGUUGGUGUUGAAGCUUGGGUUGCUUUGCUCGCACCCGAUGGUGGCGGCUAGGUCUAGCGUGUCCAGUGUGGUAUCGUAUUUGGAUGGUGUUGUUUCGUUACCCGAUGAUUUAAACUCUGUUAUCAAAGCUCGAGAAUUCCCUGGAUUAUCCAAUGAUGAGUUAAUAAGUGAAAGAAACAACACCAUUCCUCCAUUAACAAUAACACUGUCGUUUGUAUCUCAUGGUCGGUGAAGUUGAAUUAAAGAUUGUCUUUCAUUUGUUUCUUUUUAAGACGUAUGAUCCAAAUUCAAAACAUUUGUUGAUAGAGUGUUUUGCAGCUUCAAAGGCCAAAUGUGUUGUAAAUUUACAACAACUGUAUAGAGUGUUUUGCAGGGUGGAAACUGGUUCAUAAGCCCUGGAAGCCCCCUUGUUCUUGUUGGAGUUGGAGUCAUCAUUUGUAAUAGGCGCUGUAUAAAAUAUAUCAACCAUUAAUCAAAAGCUUCAUUUUCAAGGUAAAUGAGAAAACAAAACAAAAAAAAAGAGCUGAAAACCUUGAUUUGAGGGCUUUGUGACAUAGAGAAGAAUAACAGUGUCCUGGCACUGGACAGUGUGAGAAGAAUAAAGCUCCCUCUGCUUCAAUGCAGAAAGAGUAAUAUAGGGGAAUCCUACUAAGAACAGCAGGGGACAAUAUCCAGAUUGCUAUUCUAGGGACAUGAUUUUUUGUGUCUCAAUCAAAGGCUUGAAAGGUCGAAUUCUAUGGGGUGCUUCAAAUCCUUUCUCUGUGGGCAAUGAGCCUUACCCCGAUCGGCAAUGGACUGUGGGCCUUUACAAAGUGAUGUAUAUUUGAAAGAUAAUAUCUCAUCCUCGUAUUCAGAGCCGGAGUCAAGGACACUUAAAAUAAAAAAAUUUCCAUUUAAAUCCUUUACAAUUUAUAAAGUUUUAAAUUAGUAAUGAUAAAAUUGUACUUUGCUCCUCUAAAAUGAUAAAAAUUUGAUUUAUUCCUUUAAAAAUUAUAAAGACAAAGACUAUUAGAAUAGUGAAAUUAUAUUUUUAUUAUUGUUAAAAUGUACAAUUUAAUUUCAACCCUCCAAAAAAAUAAUUAUCUGACUCUGCUGCUGCUUUAUAUUAUAAGUAAAGAUAUCUAAAAUUAUUUUAUAUGUAAAAAAAAAAAAAUUAACAGGAUAAGGGUGGUUAAGUAGUUUACCACAAUUAAUGCUUCUUCCCGGAUCAGUCCGUUACAAAAUUGAAAACUUUUUGCAUCCGUUUUGGUUGUGGCCUUUCUUCCUCCGCCUCCUCGUUGGUAUUAUGUUUUCGUACUGAAAGGGAAGUACUAUGUAUUGAUCCAUCGCUAUCAGCAGAGUGUUGAUAGAUAUCUUCGAAAUUAGCAUAAUAAUGAGUGGCAUGGCUAUGCAUCUCUUUUAUUUCUUCCAAAUCUUUCACAUACACUAUUCUAACACCACACUUCUUCGCCUUAAAACUAAAGUUACCUAGAAAAUAUAUCUCAAGCUCAUCACAUUCUUCAUCCGAGCAAUCUGCUGUUACUAAAUUCUUGGGUUCACAUUUAUCCUCCAAGGAAAAUGAAGAAAAAAGUGAUCUUUCAUUAUGAUCCAGUUAAAAGCAUGUCACUAAGUAAGUCGCUAUUUACAAAUAUUUCUGGCUCAGGUCUGUUCUCUUUUACAUCGAAAAUUAACCUCUGAUUCUUUUAUAAAUUAAAAUUAAUGACUUCUUUUUGUCAAGUUUUUUGCUCUCAAAUAUGCUGCCUGCACUGUGUUGCGUGCAGAGAAUCGCACUUAAAAUAGUUUGGUGAUGGGAUUAGGUUCUCAUGCAAUGCAAAGCUGUAUUUGCUGCUUAGGAUCGCAUCUGUAUUUCAUAUUCCCAACAUUUUCUUCCACUAAGCUCGGUAAUGCCCGUUGAUUCAAUGUUUGCAGAUUAUGAUGUAAUCACCCGUGUUCGUACUUUGUUUAGGCAUCUAUUUUAUAUAUUAUUUUUUUUAUGCUAGAACACUUGAGCUUGAAAAAAAUUUGCAUGUGAUUUUAGCCAUCUAUUUUAUUUUUUAUAAGAUAAUCUUAUUCAUUUCUUUCUCGAUUUUGCAUGAAUGUUGGUUAUAUCAUAGCCUAUAUUACACCAACUCAUUCAUUUUUAGAGGUGAUCAUGGGUUGAGUUAUCCGGCUCGGCCUGAUGGCCCUCCCGAAAAAGGGAGGGUUCGGGUAAAAAUAUAGGCCCGAAAUAUGGGUUUGGGCAAAAAAAUAGUCCCGUAUAAAAAAUGGGCCGGGCUCGGGCAAAACUUUUUUGGCCUAGGCCCGGCCUGGCCCAAAGUAUAUUAAAUAUAUAUUUUUUAUUUUUAAUCAAAUAUACCUCUAAUUCUGGUUGAUUGAUUAUAUUUUUCAGGUUUUUGAUGCUAUUUUGGUGUUGUAAAAUUUAAUAUGGGCAGGGCUUGACUCGAGCUUAAUAAUUUUCUUUUAGGCAGGGCUUGGACAAAUUUUUAGGCUCAUAUUUUGGGUUGGGCCUAGAAAAUUGGCCUAAAAUUUUAUCUGGGCCUGGCCCGGCCAUGAUCACCUCUAUUCAUUUUCCCUAAGUACCUAUAUUUAAGACUUACGUGGCUUGAACACUUUAUAAAGGGAGUACAUCAGUUUCGGACACAUGAAUUGGCUUGAAUAGACUUAUUGGAACCCACCAUUGUUUGAAAAGUCAAAUGGGGUGGGCACCGAAAGUAGAAAGUAAUAUUGGUUGGCAAGUUGGGUUAAAAGUUGGCAUGGGAUAAUUGCAAUUUUGGUCCCUAAUUGUAUAGGGACAUUGCAAGUUGAUCCUUGAACCUCAACUAUAAAUAGGCCUAACCAUUGCUUACUUUCUUCAUCCCAUAAUUGCCAUUCUCUACUUAAGGCAUUAUUCUCUCUCUCUAUUUGUAAAUUUCACUUGUAAUUUUUGGAGUGAAAUAUAUUUGGUAGUGCCCGAGGACGUAGGCAAAAUUUGCUGAACCUCGUUAAAAUUCUGGUGUUCUUUAUUAUUUGUUUUGCAUAUUUUGUGAAUGUGAUUGUAGUGAUUUAUUGUGCUAUUAAAUUACGAUAGAGGGAUAUUCUGGCUAGGAAAGACUUGGUAUUUAAGUGAUCUUCGUGAUCUACCUCUCUUUCCUGGUAAUUGAACUUAGUGUGAUUUUUCAGUACAAUAAUUUUACUCUUUCACACGCUUCCGCGCAACAAUUGGUACCAGAGCCAGGCUUGUACUUGGGGUAUACGACCGUUUACGGUACUAUUCAUGUAUACAGCACUAUUUACGUAUACGACACUAUUCACAUAUACGAUACUGUUCACGUAUACAGUAGUUAGGAUUGAGGAGAAAAAUGGCAGCAGCAUCGUCAUCAGUAAGGACUACUGUGACAAAUGCAAAAUUUGAAGUAGAGAAAUUUGACGGUACCAAUAAUUUUGGUAUGUGGCAAUGUGAGAUCCUGGAUGUCUUAUGUCAGCAAGAGCUAGAUAUAGCCCUUGAAGAAAAACCUGACAAGAUGGAUGACAAUGAGUGGGCCAAGAUCAAUAGACAGGCGUGUGGUACAAUCCGCCUAUGUUUGGCCAAAGAGCAGAAGUACUCUGUCAUGAGGGAGACAUCAGCGAAGAAGUUAUGGGAUACACUGGAAGAAAAGUUUCUAACGAAAAGUCUUAAAAAUAGGCUUUAUAUGAAAAAGAAACUUUAUCGAUUCACGUAUGCACCCGGUAUGUCGAUGAAUGACCAUGUGAACUCAUUCAAUAAAAUUUUAGCAGACUUGCUAAAUUUGGAUGAGAAAUUUGAAGAUGAAGACAAGGCAUUAUUGUUGUUGAAUUCCCUUCCUGAUGAAUAUGAUCAUCUUACCACCACAUUGCUUCAUGGGAAGGACACGAUCACAUUUGAUGCAGUCUGUAGUGCGUUGUAUAGAUCUGAGACUCAAAAGAAAGAUAAAAGAGAUCACAGAGAUACAACCGCAGAAGUCUUAACAGGAAGAGGUCGUUCACACAGCAGCAAAUCUGGUAGAAGGGGAAAGUCCAAAGGGAGACCCGCCAAAGAUGAAUGUGCCUUUUACCGUGAAAAAGGGCAUUGGAAAAAGAAUUGUCCUAAGCUACAAAAGGGCAAGGCUAUUUCUAAUGCAUGUGUAGCGGAGCAUGAUGAGGAGUCAGACUUUAGCUUGGUUGGCAUGGCAAUGGCAUGUCAAACGGAUGAGUGGAUUUUGGAUUCAGGAUGUACUUACCAUAUGUGUCCUAAUAAGGACUGGUUUUCUAGUAUUAAAGAGCUAGAAGGUGGAAUUGUUCUUAUGGGAAAUGAUAGUGCUUGUAAGACAAUGGGAGUGGGUACAGUCCAAUUGAAGAAUCACGAUGGCUCAAUCCAAGUCUUGACAGAUGUUCGCUACGUACCUAGCCUGAAGAAAAAUCUCAUCUCAUUAGGUGCCCUAGAAUCUAAAGGGCUCACAAUCACUUUGAGAGAUGGAUUACUAAAAGUAGUAGCUGGGCAACUGACGGUGAUGAAAGGCACAAGAAGAAAUAACUUGUAUUUUUUAAAUGGAAGUACAGUUAUUGGAUCAACAUCAACAGUUUCUACAAAAUAUGUAGAUUCAGAGGCUACCAGAUUAUGGCAUAUGCGAUUGGGACAUGCUGGUGAAAAAGCUUUGCAGACAUUGGUGAAGCAAGGCUUAUUGAAAGGUGCAAAUUCUUGCAAAAUGAAAUUCUGUGAACAUUGUGUUCUGGGCAAGCAGAAGAGGGUAAAAUUUGGUCCAGCAAUUCACAAUACGAAAGGAAUUCUGGACUACGUUCACAGUGAUGUGUGGGGACCUACCAAAGUAACUUCUUUGGGAGGUAUGCACUAUUUUGUUACUUUUGUUGAUGAUUAUUCAAGAAAAGUAUGAGUGUAUCUAAUGAAAAGAAAAAGUGAAGUUUUGGAUGCAUUUUUGAAAUGGAAGAAGAUGGUGGAGACUCAGACUGGUCGAAAGGUCAAAUGACUUCGAUCAGAUAAUGGUACUGAGUACAAAAACGAUCCAUUUCUACAAGUAUGCCAAGAUGAGGGCAUUGUGCGACACUUCACUGUUCGGGAUACACCACAGCAAAAUGGGGUGACAGAACGAAUGAAUCGAACUAUACUGGAGAAAGUUUGAUGUAUGUUGUCCAAUGCUGGAUUGGGCAAAGAAUUUUGGGCUGAGGCAGUUACAUAUGCGUGCCAUCUAAUUAACCGUUUGCCAUCAGCUGCAAUAAAUGGAAAAACUCCUAUGGAGAUGUGGACUGGUAAAUCUGCUACUGAUUAUGAUUCUUUACAUGUAUUUGGUUCCACUGCAUAUUAUCAUGUAAAAAAAUCUAAGUUAGACCCAAGAGCAAAGAAAGCAUUAUUCUUGGGUAUAACUGAUGGAGUAAAAGGAUAUCGUCUCUGGUGUCCUGAUACAAGGAAGAUUGUUUUCAGUAGAGAUGUGACUUUUGAUGAAUCAACCAUGUUGAAGUACAAGGAUUCACAAAAGGAUGACAAAACCAGUAGUACUUUGCAGCAGGUGGAGCUUGAAAAGGUUAACGAUGAUCCAGCUAAUAUUGAAGGGACAAAUGAUGAAGAGGUUCCUACCCAAGAACCUCUACAGCAACAAGAUUCAAUUGCAUAUAGAAGGCCAAGAAGAGAGAUUCGUAAGCCUGCUCGCUUUGAUGAUAUAGUGGCCUAUGCACUUCCAAUUACAGAUGAUGAUGUUCAUUCUACUUACACAGAAGUAAUAAGUAACCCUGAUGGUGUAAAGUGGAAGCAAGUAAUGAAUGAAGAAAUGCAGUCUCUUCAUAAAAAUAAGACCUGGGAGUUGGUGACACUACCCAAGGGAAAGAAGGCAAUUGGAUGCAAAUGGGUAUAUGCAAAGAAGGAAGGAUUUCCUGAUAAAAAUGAAAUUCGAUACAAGGCUAGAUUAGUAGCAAAGGGUUAUGCUCAGAAAGAAGGAAUAGACUACAAUGAAGUGUUUUCUCCAGUUGUGAAGCAUUCGUCUAUUCGGAUUUUGCUAGCCUUGGUUGCGCAAUAUGAUCUUGAACUAGUUCAGCUUGAUGUGAAGACCGCGUUUUUACACGGUGAUUUGGAAGAGGAAAUCUAUAUGACUCAGCCAGAUGGAUUCAAGGUUGCUGGAAAAGAAAAUUGAGUUUGCAAACUGACAAAGUCGCUUUAUGGAUUGAAGCAAUCUCCGAGGCAGUGGUACAAGCGAUUUGAUCAGUUCAUGAAAGGGCAAAGGUACACAAUAAGUAAAUUUGAUCAUUGCGUGUAUUUUCAGAAGCUACAAGAAGGAACUUUCAUAUACUUGCUCUUAUAUGUUGAUGAUAUGCUAAUAGCAUCUAAGAGCAAAGUUGAGAUUGAAAGAUUGAAGACUCAACUCAAUCUCGAGUUUGAGAUGAAAGAUCUAGGAGAAGCUAAAAAGAUUCUCGGCAUGGAAAUAUGGAGAGAUAGAGCUCAUGAUAGAGUUAGCUUGUCUCAGAAGCAGUAUUUGAAAAAGGUACUACAACAGUUUGGCAUGAACGAGCAGACAAAACCUGUAAGUACCCCGUUGGCUUCUCAUUUCAAGCUUUCUGCACAACUAUCUCCUUCGACGAAUACGAAACGAGAAUACAUGUUGCAAGUUCCGUAUUCUAAUGCAGUGGGUAGCUUGAUGUAUGCAAUGGUGUGUACAAGACCCGACAUUUCACAGGCAGUUAGUAUAGUGAGCAGGUAUAUGCAUAAUCCUGGAAAAGGACAUUGGCAAGCUAUGAAAUGGAUUCUACGGUAUAUUCAGAAGACCGUGGAUGUUGGAUUACUGUUCAAGCAGGAUAAUACACUUGGUAAAGGUGUUAUUGGGUACGUUGAUUCUGACUAUGCCGGUGAUUUGGACAAGCGAAGAUCAACCACCGGUUAUGUGUUUACACUUGCUGGAGGACCAAUAAGUUGGAAGUCUACACUACAGUCUACAGUUGCAUUGUCAACCACAGAAGCCGAGUACAUGGCUGUAACAGAGGCUGUAAAGGAGGCUGUUUGGUUACAAGGUAUGGCUAAAACCUUGGGGUUGGUUCAAGAGCAUAUUAACGUGUAUUGUGAUAGUCAAAAUGCUAUUCAUUUAGCAAAGAAUCAAGUCUAUCAUGCACGUACAAAACAUAUCGACGUACGAUUCCAUUUUGUGCGGGAAAUUAUUGAAGAGGGGAAAAUUUGUCUUCAGAAGAUCAAGACUGCAGAUAAUCCCGCAGAUAUGAUGACCAAGGUGGUAACAGCAACCAAGUUCGAACAUUGUUUGAACUUGAUUAAUAUCCUGCAAGUUUAACAGUUGAAGAAGGCACUAUCAAGUAUUGUUGUCAAAAGCAGAAAGAAUUGUGUGAAGAUAAGAUUAUCGUAAUCAAAUCUUCAAGGUGGAGAUUAUUGGAACCCACCAUUGUUUGAAAAGUCAAAUGGGGUGGGCACCGAAAGUAGAAAGUAAUAUUGGUUGGCAAGUUGGGUUAAAAGUUGGCAUGGGAUAAUUGCAAUUUUGGUCCCUAAUUGUAUAGGGACAUUGCAAGUUGAUCCUUGAACCUCAACUAUAAAUAGGCCUAACCAUUUCUUACUUUCUUCAUCCCAUAAUUGCCAUUCUCUACUUAAGGCAUUAUUCUCUCUCUCUAUUUGUAAAUUUCACUUGUAAUUUUUGGAGUGAAAUAUAUUUGGUAGUGCCCGAGGACGUAGGCAAAAUUUGCUGAACCUCGUUAAAAUUCUGGUGUUCUUUAUUAUUUGUUUUGCAUAUUUUGUGAAUGUGAUUGUAGUGAUUUAUUGUGCUAUUAAAUUACGAUAGCGGGAUAUUCUGGCUAGGAAAGACUUGGUAUUUAAGUGAUCUUCGUGAUCUACCUCUCUUUCCUGGGAAUUGAACUUAGUGUGAUUUUUCAGUACAAUAAUUUUACUCUUUCACACGCUUCCGCGCAACAAGACUUUUAUACUUUCCUAGUAGAGGAAUAAUUUAAUUACAAUUCAUUCUAUUAUUAUGUAUUAAAUGAACAAUUUCAAUUCCAAAUAUAAGUUGAGAUCUAAUUAUUUCGUCCAAUUGUCUUUAAAAACAUUUAAACCUAUCAAUUAUUUGAAUCUCAAUAUUUCAGAUUUUUUUAAGGUUAUAACAUUCUCACUGUAAAGAAAAUAAGGAUUAAAUUGUCAAAUUUUAUAAACGCUAAGAACCUUUUUGUCAUCUUGCCUAAUUUAUGUUUCAUGUAAAAAACAACUAAUUAUAUAAUAACAUAAUUUUUUCUCAAAAUCCUAAUUCCCUAAAUUCAUCCGAGCCUAUAAUUGCUAAAGCGUCCCCUUCUAUUUCAACUUGAUGACUUUUGUUGGUCCCCCACUUGCAUGAUCCUUUGAGUAGACUUUCAUGCUUCUAUUGGUCUAGGGAUAAACAUAAAACACCAAGAUUAUUUUUGUUGCAUUGUGAUCAUCUAUACCAUUAGUAUAUUAAUUUAACCUCAAAUUGAUAUAUUUUUGUUCAUAUCACAAAAAACACAACUGUUAAAAAUCUUACUUACGUCAACCAAAAGCCAUAUCUCUAUUUCUCUAAACCUAACAUUAGACAAGAACAAAAAAUGAAUCUAGUGAAUUUUGAAAAAAAAAAUUGGUCAUACAGAAAAUAUUUUCCAAUUAAUUAAAAGAGUAUACUUUAUAUUUAUAUUUGAAUAAGUGUUAAAAAUAAAUGUCUAACCAUAAAUACUUCAUAAAAAAUAUAAACUAAAUAGUUGGUGUUAGGAUCGUCCCGAAUAAGUAACGAACAAGUAAAAAUAGUAGAAGAAAUUGAGAAGAUGAACACACAAAUUUAACGUUGAAAAACCCCUCAAAAGAGGAUAAAAAACCACGGGCAAAGAUAACUUUACUAUAAUGGCAAAAGAAUGAAGAGUACAAAAGAUGGAGAUAAAAAACUAAACCCCGAAAACCCGAAAAACAAAGAACCCUCAAACGUAAACACAAAAUUCUCUGAAUGUGUUAUGAGUUCUAAUCUAAUGGGUGUCUCUUUUAAUUCUAAGAUUGUAAAUGAGCCUAUUUAUAGGCUAAAUUAGCAAGUCAAAUAAACUAUACUAAUAAAUGCUAAAUAUAUUAUACUAAUAAAUACUAAAUCUUCUAGAAAGAAAAUAUAUUUUUGUUUAACUUGACUUGCAAGCAAUCUCUUAGAAUUUGGGUCACACAAUUCUAACAAUCUCCACCUUGACACAAAUUCUUUCAAUGCCAUCUUUGCCAAAACCCGCCACGGGCCUAUCUUGAACUAUGCAGGGAAUUAACUGAGUCGAAUCUAUGCUUAGAAGCUGGAAGACUUCUAGCCUUCGACUUGUGCACUGCCAAAUCAAAACUAACCCGGGUCUGAUUUUUACGAAUACAAUGCCCUAACUUUUCAAAACCUGCAUCCAAAAGAGAACCUCUCUUCAACGAAACGGUCAUACCUUUUUCCCUCCUAUGACCAAGUUACCUCCGCUUCAAAUGAGUUGACUUUGACUCUGUAACGGAUGAGGGACGUCCGAUUUCACCGGUCACUGUAGAACCUUCCAGAAUAUAAAGACUGCCGGUUCUUUUACCUUUUAACAAAAUGAGAGCUCCACGAGAUACUUUAAUGUCGCUCGACUCGAUGUUGAUUCUGCAUCCUUUCAAGUCUAAAAUACUCAAGGAGAUGAGAUUCUUUCGUAAAUCAGGUACAUACUUGACAUCUGAGAGUGUCCUAAUCGUCCCAUCGUGUAUCCUAAUUUUAACAGUACCAAUACCGAUUAUUUUACUAGAUGAAUCGUUUCCCAUGUGCACAACGCCACCUUCAACUGAACUGCAUGUGGAGAACCAUUCUCUAUUGGGACACAUGUGGAAAGAACAUCCUGAAUUUAGGAUCCACUCAGACGUAAGCUUGGAGUUAUCGCUCGUUGACACUAACAAGAAAUCAUCACCGCCUUCAUCGACCAAAUUAGCACCAGCUACAUCUUCCUCGUUACUCUCAGCAGCUCUUUUAUUUCGCAGUUUAUAACAAUCUGCUUUGACGUGACCUAACUUUUUGCAAUAGCGACACCUUUUGUCUCGUUUCUUUGAUGCUACCAAAACGGAAGCUUGUCUAUCUGCUUUGCUAUUCAAAUCAAACUCAUUGUCGAGUUUGUCUCUACUCAACAAAUGACCCUUCACAUCUUCGAACGAGAGUUUGUCUCUACCAUAAAUCAGGGUCUCCCUGAAAGACUUGUAUGAAGAGGGUAAAGAGCACAAUAAUAGCAUAGCUUGAUCUUCAUCGUCAAUAAGAACCUCAACGUUCUUUAAAUCAUUUAAAAGAGUAAUGAAUUGACUGAUGUGAUCUUUAAGAAGCUCACCUUCGUUCAUGCGAAACGUAAAUAGACGUUGUUUCAACACUAAACGGUUAGCCAGAGACUUAGUCGCAUAAAGAGUUUCUAACCUUUUCCACAAGGCGAAUGAGGUCUUCUCCAUCAAUACCUCCUGCAAUACUGUAUUCGCGAGGCACAACUGGAUUGCAGACAAGGCCUUUUCAUCAAGCUCUUCCCAUUCUGUUUGAUUUAGAUUCUCAGGCUUUUUCCCUGUAACAACCUUUUUCAAGCCAUUUUGAACUAGAAUUGCCAUCAUCCGAACUUGCCACAGAUUGAAAUUUGUCUCACCAUCGAACUUCUCAAUUUCAAACCUUGUUGCUGCCAUCUCUGAACGGGCUGAUCUAUGAAAGUUAAACUAGCUCUGAUACCACUUGUUAGGAUCGUCCCGAUUAAGCAACGAACAAGUAAAAAUAGUAGAAGAAAUUAAGAAGAUGAACACACAAAUUUAACGUGGAAAAACCCCUCAAAAGAGGAUAAAAAACCACGGGCAAAUAUAAUUUUACUAUAAUGGCAAAAGAAUGAAGAGUACAAAAGAUGGAGAUAAAAAACUAAACCCCGAAAACCCGAAAAACAAAGAACCCUCAAACGUAAACACAAAAUUCUUUGAAUGUGUUAUGAGUUCUAAUCUAAUGGGUGUCUCUUUUAAUUCUAAGAUUGUAAAGGAGCCUAUUUAUAGGCUAAAUUAGCAAGUCAAAUAAACUAUACUAAUAAAUGCUAAAUAUAUUAUACUAAUAAAUACUAAAUCUUCUAGAAAGAAAAUAUAUUUUUGUUUAACUUGACUUGCAAGCAAUCUCUUAGAAUUUGGGUCACACAAUUCUAACAGUUGGAAUAACAUUAUUUGUACUUCAAGCCAUGAAAUUUAAAUGGUACUUUUAUUAGAAUGAACUAAACCUAUUUAAGUACUAUUAAGAAUUUAUAUUUAAUAUUCUAAAUAUAUAAAAACAAUUUUGAUUGGUUAAAUUGAACACAUGAUCUCAAAUAAAAAUGAAAUGGUUUUAACUUAACCGAAAUUAUGAUCUAAUCUUCAUUAAAAGGUUUUCACCUUAUUAUUACUUGUUUCGUCACGGUUUCUUUUCCGCAUUUAUGUCUUAAAUUGAUUAUAUUUACUUCAACCUAAAAAUAAAAUAUAGAUGUAAGUGAAUAUAUAAUGAAAAUAAUAUUUUAAUAAAUCUAGUUUGAAGUCUUAAUUGGCGUUAUUCAAGUAUUAAUGGUACGUAUUGUAAGCCAAUUCAUGUAUGCACCAAGUGAAGAUCAUAUGGAGGUUGUUUAUCGAAUCUUACGAUAUCUAAAAUUUUUUCGAGAAAAAGGAUUAUCUUUUUGCUAAAAAUGGAGAUCAAGAAAUAAAGAAAUAUAUAGAUGCGGAUUGAAUUGGAAGUCAAAUUGAUCGAAAGUCUACAUCGAGAUAUUUUAUAUUUGUUGGAAAUAACUUGGUUACAUGGCGAAAUAAGAAAUAAAAUAUUGUAGCAAAAUCUAAGUGCAAAGGCAGAAUUUCUGUGGAAUGACACGAAGUAUCUAUGAAUUGCUAUGGAUAAAAUUUUAAAUCUAGUAGUAGGGCUUAUACCCCACUGUUUACAAUAAGUAAUGCUGAAAGGGUUUUGUAUAUAUUUCAGCAUCCUAAGUAGCAAACUGUGGCUGUCCAUGCAAAUACCAUUUAGGAUUAUAUUUUAUAACCUAGCAUUUUAUAAAAUAAAAAAUUUGUGUUUAAUUUUGGAAUUUUUAUUUCCUUUUUUUAAUUGUUUUAAUUUUUUAGAGAUUAUUUUUAUUAUCGAUUUUUAAUCUUUUAAUACUUUUUAAAAAUAUUUAUAAUUUAUUGUACUUUUCUGGUCCUAACAACUCUAAAGUCUAGUUACAUUCAAGCUUUGAUAGCAUUACAAAAUAAUCAACAGUAAACAAAAGAAAAAAGUUACUUCUGGUCCUGCUCGAAUUCUGAUCUGCAGCAGCUGCUGGUCUGCUUCUUGGCCUAUUGUUGCAUUGCAGUCCAUGUUCAACACUCCUACUUGGACUGUAGGCAACAAACACCAACUGAUUCUCUAAGAGAUUCAAACCUCAUAGUACAGAGAGGCUUUGUCAAAAUAUCAGCCAAUUGACUUUGUGAGCUACAAUGUGCAAGACUUACAUCCUUUGAUUGCACUGCCUCUCGAACAAAAUAGAAUUUGAGUUUAAAAUGUUUUGUUUUACCAUGAAAAAUAGCAUUUUUGGAGAUAGCUAUUGCUGAUUGAUUAUCAACCAUAAUCUCAGUAGGCUCAAAUUGUUCCUCAUUCAAAUCACACAACAAUUUUCUAAGCCAAAUAGCUUGGCUUACUGCUCCAGCUGCUGCUAUGUACUCUACCUUUGCAGUUGAUUGAGCAACUAUUUGUUGCUUUUUAGAGCUCUAACAGAAAGCUCCCGAACCAAGUGUAAAAAGGUAGCCUGAGGUACUCCUCAUAUCAUCAAUCGAUCCUCCCCAGUCACUGUCUAAAUAGCCAGUCAAUUUUAGUUUAUUCCCUGACUUGAACAUCACUCCAAACUUCAAGGUUCCUUUAACAUACCUGAGAAUUCUCUUUGCUAUCUUUAAAUGUGAUGUAUUGCAGCUAUGCAUGAAACGAGAUAACAUACUUACAGAAUGCAUAAGAUCAGGCCUUGUUGCUGUUAAGUAAAGCAAACAUCCAAUCAGACUCCUAUACUCCCUUUCAUCCACUUUUUCUUCAUUUCCAUAGCUACUUAAUUUCUGUCCUGUGACUAGAGGUGUACUCACCGGUUUGCAAUUUUCCAUGUGGAAUUUAGUGAGUAUCUUCAGGGCAAAUGCAUGUUGACUGAUGAAAAUACCCUGACUAAUCUGACUCACCUCCAUACUAAGGAAAAAACUCAUAAUUCCCAAAUCAGUCAUAUCGAACAUGACUUGCAUUUUCUCAUUGGAACUCUUGAAUCAGCUCAAAUUUGCUUCCUGUAACCAACAAAUCAUCCACAUAUAUUGACACUAUCAACAGUGUCUCAUCUUUUGACUUUUUCACAAACAAAGUUGGUUCACUCAAGCUCUUCUCAAAGUUGAGUUUAGACAGAUACCCAUCAAUUCUGUCAUACCAGGCUCGAGGAGCCUGUUUCAAACCAUAAAAUGCCUUCUUCAGCCUAUAAACCUUGUCCUCCUUUCCUUGAACUUUAAAUCCAUCAGGCUGUUCAACAUAAAUUUCCUCUUUAAGAAGGCCAUUCAGGAAAGCUGACUUGACAUCAAGCUGGUGGACCUUCCACUGUUUCUGUGCAGCCAAGGCAAACAGCAACUUUAUAGUGUCCAGCCUUGCUACUGGAGCAAAAGUUUCCUCAAAAUCAAUGCCAAAUUGUUGGCUAUACCCUUUCACCACAAGCCUUGCCUUGUGUUUGUUCAGAGAGCCAUCUGCAUUGAACUUAGUCUUGUAAACCCACUUGACACCAAUGACUUUCUUCUAUUCAGGUCUGUCCAUAAGAUCCCAAGUGUCAUUCUUGUGGAUCAUAUCAAUUUCAGCCUCCAUGGCUUUCAUCCAACUCUUGCUUCUAUCAGCCUCUUCAUAGCUUGAGGGUUCAGCAAUAGCUACGUUGCAUCUCUGGUAGAUAUCAGCAAUCGACCUAGUCCCUCUCAUAGGAGCAUCAUCAACAUUGGCAUUACUGACUUCAUUUUCUGCCAAUUCUAGGUUGCUAUCACCUUUCUCUUCUUCAAACUGUCUUGUAUCUGAACCAUCAAAGUUCUAAAACCUUGUUUCAUCAAAUUUAAUAUCCCCACUUACCAGAAUCUUCUUGGUCAAGGGAUCAAAUAUUCUGUAGCCCUUCUUACAGCUACUAUAGCCAACAAAUAUGCCAGCAAUUGAUCUGUUCUCAAGUUUGGUCCUUCUUUCUGCUGGUACAAGUACAUAACAUAUGCAGCCAAAUAAUUUUAAGUGUAAGACAACAGGUUUGAGACCAUACCAUGCUUUAAAAGGGGUCCUCAAAGAUAGGAGGCUCUGAUUACCAUUUAUUAGAAUAAUGGCUGCAGCAACUUAAAGCAAAUCGAGCAUCAAGAGCAUAAGCUCUUCAAACAGCAAGCAAAAACAAAGAAAAAAUGAAAAGACUAAAAACAGAAAGUAACUGAUGAAGUAAUUCAAUUUUCUCAUUGAAACUUUGAAAUAUAAGAUGUUACAAAAAUAGUAUGACAGUUACCUAACAUAUGUAACUGCUCCCAUCAGUUUUAGCAAGUUGCAAUACAAAAUAAUACAAAUUAAAAGAGCUGAACAUUUCAGCCAUUACAUCUAUCAAAUUCAAAUCCUAACAACUCUAAAGUCUAGUUACAUUCAAGAUUUGAUAGCAUUACAAAAUAAUCAAAAGUAAACAAAAGAAAAAAGUUGCUUCUGGUCCUGCUCAAAUUCUGAUCUGCAGCAGCUGCUGGUCUGUUUCUUGGCCUAUUGUUGCAUUGCAGUCCAUGUUCAACAUCAUGUUGUCAAUGAUAAAUUUUGUUUGUCACAUUUUGACAGGUCCGAUGGAAAAGAGGUUAUGGUGGACAACCAAUAUCUUCAAGCUAACAAUCCACUGCUGGUAAUGGAUCAUUUUCUUGCCUAAUCUUUUCCUUCACUAAAUUGCCUCAAAGAGCUAACAAUUCUUGCACUUCUUUUGUUUUUUUUUCUUCCAUUGCAGUUAAUCAGCCAAAACGACUUCCACCUUUUCGGCUUCUGACACCACCGAUCCAUAGGCUGCAAGUAAGGCACAGGUAUUUUCUAUCUUCGCAAUAUAAUCUGUGACAGUUAACUCACCCUUCUUUGUAAAAUUAAGAUCAUGCUUGAUGCUAGAAAUUUUGCACUGGUUGACGCAGCGAAAAGACGAUUUGCAGUGCUCCAGAUGUCACACGCAGAUUGAGCAGAGGUAAAACAUGACAAAAGUGACGAACUAAUCAUACUUAGGAGCCAAAAAGCUAACAGCUUAUCCUGUUGAUUGAACGCAACCGCUUCUGGAUUCGGAAUAAGAGCACCUUCUGGAGACACAAUAAACCGAGACGAAGCAGACAGCGUACCUUCCAAGAAACCUUGCAGCUCAUAUCCCUCUAUUAUCAACAGGCUAUGUUGCUGCCAUUGAACAAAGUUUUCUCCCUCUAGUUUCACCGUGUCAUGACAAGGGAAAGAUUGGACCAGGCGUUGACCGAAAAACGUCGGACUCCUAGGAUCAGCAAAGUUAGAUACGACUGAUGGUGCCAUAACACAACAACGGAAGCACGUACCAGGACUAGGUGACUGGUACCAUGCUCAAAAUAUGUAUAAACAGAAAAAUGAAGUAUAGAAGAAUUCUUUAGUCUUAUGCUAUCUAGUUGAAUGAAUACACUGAUGAGGUUUUAUACAAAUAUGAUAACCAACUGCCUAAUGAACUGCUUAACAAAUUUUGUAACAACCUAUCAAACUAACCAUCGUAACAACUGUUUAACACUCACGCACAAAAGAUUUUCUAAUUGAAUAUUAGUGCAUACUUUAUAUUCAUAUUUGAAUAAAUAUUAAAAAAAUGUCUAAAUAUAAAUAUUUUAUAAAAAAUAUAAAUUGAGGAGUUGGAAUAAUAUUAUUUGUACUUCAAGCCAUGGAAUUUAAAUGAUUAUUCAUUAGAAGGGAUUAAAUCUAUUUAAGUACAAUUAAGGAUUUAUAUUUAAUCUUCCAAAUAUAUAAAAACAGUUUUGACUAAUUAAAUUGAACACAUAAGUUGGUCUCUAACAAAAAUAAAAUAAUUUUUAACUCAGUUGAAAUGAUGGUUAAUCCUUAUUAAAGGAUUCUCACUUUAUUAUUACUUACUUCGUCUUCAUUUUUGUCUCACAAUUUUGUUUCAAGUUGUUUCAUCUUCAACCUACAAAUAAGAUAUAGAUGUAAGUGAAUAUAUAUAAUGAAAAUAAAAUUUUAAUAAAAAAAAAAGUGAAACCAAUCAAAAUGUAAACAUUUAGAUUAUGUAAAAAGGAAUGAAUUAAGUGACUAAAAUUUUAAAUGGUAUAAAAAACAAUGUUAUCAACAUUUGAGAUAUGUAGAUGUUGAAUAUGAAUAUGAAUAAAUUUUUUUAAAAUGUUUUUGGCAUAUAAUGGAAGGAUCAUAUCUCAUAAGCAAAACAAGUCUAGAAUAAUUGUUUAAAUGAAAUACAAGAUGUGUAAACAAAAAUUAAUAGGACAAAGUUGGUUAAGUAGUUUACCUCAGUUAAUGCUUCUUUCUUGAUUGGUCCAUUACAAAAUUGAAAAAAUUUUGCAUCAGUUUUGGUUGCGGCUCUUCUUCCUCCAUUUCUUCAUAGAUAUUACGUUUCCGUUUUAUGUGAGAAGUGCUACCUACUGAUCCAUGGUUGUGAGCAGAGUGUUGGUGGAUGUGCUCAAAAUUUGGAGAAGAUUGAGUGGUAUCGCACUGCAACUCUUUCAUUUCUUCCAAAUCUUUCUCAUACACUAUUCUAACACCACACUUCUUCACCUUAACACAACGGUAAUUUGGUCCAAAAAAGGUACUGAAAGACAACUCAGGCUCAUCGCAUAUUUGAUCUAAGCAAUCUGUCGUCCAUAAAUUAUUGGUUUCACAGUCACCAUAUUUAUCACGCGGAAAAUAACGAAGAAAAAGGUGAUCUUUCAUUAUGGGCUUGCGAAAGUAUCGACCUACCCACCGAUUUCUCCAAUCAAUUGGUCUACAAUUUCUACCUCGAAAAACUCUAGAUCCAUUACAGCUGAUAGACUCCUUAUUCCUUGAAGCAUCAUUAUUGACAAAAAUGCAGCAACAAGCAACUCCAAUCCAUUCACUAUCUUUCCGAAGUGGUAUCUUAAUUGAAGAGUCACUUUUUUGUUGGCUAAACCAUUCUGGGAUUUCACUUCCGGGCAUCAUAAUAUCAAAGAAGCCAUCAGCAAAAAAUUUUCUUGAUUUUGGAAAUGCCUGCAAAAUAAAACACAAGUCGUUUGGUAACUAAAACCAUAUAUUCUCAAGUAUGAGAUUUUGGAAGGGAGAAAAAAAUAGAUUAAUCGACCUUAAUAUGUUCUUUCAGCAGUGUUAAUACAUUGAUUUUCUCAGCCAAUUUGAAGCAGUUAAUGGCACUAAUGUCACCACAACACACUAAAUUGCAUACUUUUGAUGGACUUGCAACUACUUCAAGUGAAGAACAACUAUCUAGCCACCCAUCUUCUAUACUUGUUGGUAGCUCAGGCAACGAGUUAAGCUUCAUGCAAUUUGAUAAUGCAAGCAAUUUAAGCUUGGAAAGUUGAGUCAGAGCCGAAGGAACGGUGAUGAAAUUGUUACCGUCAAGAAAAAGCCGUUUCAAAGAGGAUAGACCAUGAAUAUCUGCUUCACCAAGAGUGCACAUGUUGCAAUUUGACAAUCUAAGCUCUUCAAGCUUGGAGAGUCGAGUAAGAGAUGCAGGUAUGCUGAUGAAAUUGUUACCACUAAGAUCAAGUUCUUCCAAACAGGAUAGACUAGAAAGAUCACGUGGAAUAUCUCCUUCACAAAGAUUGCAGUCCUUUAGUUUUAGCUCUCUUAAAGAACUCAAACAUGACAACAAAGGCAACAUCCGAGCCAUGGGAUUCGUCCUUCUUCCUUGGAUUACCUUGAAAAGAGAAGGCAAAUUUGGUAGUAACUUAUAUGAUGGUCCCUUGCGCCCAUUGAAAGACAGAACUUUAAGAUUUUUAAAUUGAAAAAUGAAGGAUGGUGGUUCUGUUAUGGCUGUUUCACUCAAGUCGAGCUCUUCCAAAAACUUUGCUUGCUGCAAAUUCUCCGAUAAAUUUUCCACUCUAUAACAACCGGAAAGAUUUAGAGUUUUUAAACGUUCCAUUUUCCCAUCAAUCUCCGGAAACCUUACAAGACUUGAGCAACCCGAAAGAAUUAAUGUUUCUAGAGAUUCCAUUCCGAUUUUGGUUGGAAGAGUCGUAAGACUUUUGCAAUCUCUUAAAUUCAAAAGUUUAAGGCUCUUAAGCAACCGGAUUGAUGGAUGAACAUCCACUAAUUUGGUACAACCUUCCAAAAUCAAAACUUCAAGAUUUGAUGCUGUUGUGAAGUCUGGUGUCUUGAUCAGGUUUUGAGACCCUCUGAGGUUCAUUAUUUUCAUGUUAAACAAGUGCUGUUGAAGACCAUAAUAAAUUAGAAAUAAAUGAGAAAACAUAAUAAUGCUCAUUUUUGCUUUUUUUUUUGUUUUACCUUAAUCAAAUUUUAAUAAUUUAUAUUAAAAUAAGCUAAAACACAAGGAUAAGAUGAGUAAAUUCUUACUCUAUUUCCCUUCCAUAGUUGUUGAAUGUGACUAUAUGGUAAAAGAAGCGCAACAAGGUUGUUCGGUUGAAAGCUUGAAGGCAAGUAUCUUAAAGGGUAUCCUGUCCAAUCUAAAAGUCGUAAUUCAUUAGAAAGAUAUUUAAGAUCAUCACAAUUUGAAAGGCAAAGCACUUUGAGCAAUCUCAGUUUUUUCAUCUUCAAGAAGCUAUCCACACUCAAAUUGAGCAUCUUGUUCGAUUCCCUAAUAUCCAUGAGCAAAACAAAAAUGAGCUUCAAAAUAUACAAAAGCAUUCAAUAUCUAAAAGAAAUGUUGCAUCGAUAUUGUUUUUUAAGUACUCGUAUCCAAUACUUAUAUCUAAUGCACAUUCGUAUAUGGGUAUUAAGAUAUGAUCCUUUAAGAACCUUUUUAAAUAAGUGAAAAAAAUAAUUUUUAAAUUUUUUUUGAAUAUACCCAUAUUAAAGAGAUACUUAUAUCUAACAAUCACAUCCGAUGUUAAAUUACCUAAUCCUAAAAAAUUGAAUUAAUAUGUUGAUUUAUAUUUGGUCCGCAAACAAUGCAUAAUUUACAAGUUAAUGAACCAAACAAUGACACAUAAUUAAAAAAAACCAUUUUCAUUAAAAAAAUUUUGAUGACAUGUUAUAAUCUAAUUCGUUGAUAUACACUUUUAGUACAUUAAAUAUAUAGCAUUAAUUUUCAAAAAAAAUAUACCAUUAAUAUUUCAAAAAUACAUACAUUUCUCUUUUGAAAAAGUAAAUAUGUUGCUAGAUAAAUUUCAUAAUUAAACAUUGAAAUAUUGAAUGUCAAAAGUUUUGUUAUAGUUUUUUUUUAUCAUAUUUAAAAAUAAUAAUUAUUUACAGUACACAUAGAUAUAAGUUUAUGUGUGUCUUCUUACCUUUUAAUAUCAAUGAUUAUGCCUUCAACCAAUUCUGUAGCCUAAAAAAGAUCAACGACAGAUAAUAAGAAAAUAAAAUAAAUGGUGAAUAAUGUAGGAUAGAAAAGAAAAAGUAUGUAACUAUUGUUGAAUGACUUACAGUGUUUUUUGUUAGGACAUGAUGGACGUCUCUUUCCUCCCACAAUCUGCAACGUUUUCCAGGUUCAUCAAUACAUUUUUCUCUAACAAUUGUUCUUCCCAUCUCUUGUAACAAGUCAUGCAUCUUCAAAUUUUUGUUGUGUUUAUCGACUUUUACGAGGGAUUUUUUAAUGAGAACAUCAAUUCCAAUAUCAGGAAAAAACUCACAACCAUCCAAUACUUUGAUUACAAAAUCUUUAUUCUCCCCAUUGAAGAAGCAUGCUAUAUCUAAAAAUAUAUUCUUCUCCCUUUCUUCCAGUCCAUCAAAACUGAUUCGAAGUUUAUCGAAAAUUUCUUUAUUAGAAUCUCUUUUAAGUCUUUCAAUCGCACUUCUCCAUUGAGUCGCAUCUCUACCGCACAAGAAGGAACCCAAAACUUCAAGAGCUAAAGGGAGUCCGCCAGCAUAAUUUACAACAUGUUUAGAAAGCUCAAUGAAAUCAUCUUUCUGCACUGUAUCACUAUGAAAAGCUUUCAGACUGAAAAGUUGAAGCGCAUCUUUGGGAUUCAAUGUUGUGGGCUCAUACAUAUCAUCAACUGGCCAAGAUCGAAGCAAAUGUUCUUCUCUUGUUGUUACAACGAUUCUACUUCCUAAUCCGAACCAAUCGUGCCUUCCAACCAAGCAUUUUAAGUGUUGUAUGUUAUCAACAUUAUCAAGAACAACAAGAACCUUUUUGUGAGACAACCUAUGGCUAAUUAUGUCACUCCCUUCAUGAACAUCGAAAAAGUUGAAGCAUUCACCAUGAAAGAUCUGUGAAAGAAGUUGUUUCUGUAAAGAAACUAGUCCGCAUUUGUCUGAAACUUCUCGAAUAUCAGCAAUAAAGCUUUUACCUUCAAAAUGAGAUGACAUUUGAGUGUAAGCAGCUCUUGCGAGUGUCGUUUUACCGAUACCACCCAUUCCGCAAAUUCCUAUAACUCGGACAUCAUCUUCCCCAAUGUUAAUUUUCAAAUAUAAAUCCUCCAAGCGUUUACUAAUUCCAACCAAGUCGCUAUGAGUAGCUGGAUAUGUCUGACAUAGUUUUGCUGAUAUCUUCUUGACAAUGUCUUUAAUAAAUUCUGAUUCAUGCCUAAAAAAAAGAGAGGAAAAUUUAAUGUUUUGAAUAAAAUUUUGUUGAUAUGUUUCAAAUACACUUUCUUUUUCAAUGAAUCAUCAAACAUAAUAUAGUUUGGAAGCAAACAAGAACCAAGAAUAAGAAAGCAAGAUCUGUUGCGGAGCCAGAAUACAAAGUUUGCUCUUUCAUUGAAAUAUAACACUUUUCAAUUAAACAAAUAGGAUUAGAAAGAAAAAAAAGUUAUACAUAUAUAUCCAAAAAACUAGAAAAUAAAGAAGAAAAGAAAGAAUUACCUGUUAUUUAAAUGCCAUCCCUUGAUUGCAGCCACUUGAAUUAAAGCAUUUCGCCAUCUUUGGAUCUUCUCACUAUCUUCUUUGUAUCUCUCUUUAUGUCUGGCAAAGGCUUCUUCCACUUUCUCUUUUUGUUUUCUUAAAUCAGAUGGACCAACAUGGUAAAAAAUUGGAAACACUUUAUGGCCGUCGUUGUUAUGUUGUUUAACAAUCUCAGCAAGCUCCUCCAAGCACCAACUUGAAAAGGCAUAAGUUUGUGAAAAAACGAUUACUGAGCACCAUGAUUGGUGAAUUGCUUUAAAGAGUUCAGGUGCGAUCUCUUCGCCGGCCUCCAGCUUUGGAUCAUCUCUGAAAGUGACGAUCCCACUCCUACUUAGAGCAUCAUAGAGAUGAUCGGUAAAGUUGUUGCGGGUAUCUUCACCUCUGAAACUCAAGAAAACAUCGUAUUUUUUUCUAGAAAUGGAGGAAGAAGGUAACGACAACAUGAGGAUGUAUGAAAGGAGGAGGAUAUUUCAAUCUGGUGUUCAAAAUCAGAAAAUAAUGAAUAUAUGAGGAAAAACAUAUGAAAAAUAGAAGAGGGCCGGGUGAUAUGUUCGUUCCAUGAAGGUGAGAAUUAAAAAUAUUGGACGGUUUGUAUUUUAUGUACUUAACAAUGAAAGAUAAUAAUUAAAAACAUUAGUUUUCGAAAUGAAAGGGAGUAGGUGUGGAAAUUCGGGGUUAUUGAUGUUGUUUCCGGGAAGACUCCAAGAAGGUGAGAGUAGACAAAAGACACUCAAAUUUCUCAAAUAUCUUAAACAUUUGGGGUUUGACAAGCUCAAUUACUUCCAGAACCGGCGACCUGGAUUCCAAAUUCCAAUAAUUCUUUUCCGCGAAAAUCAAACUAAUCAAAGAUAUAUAGAUGAAUAAAUAAAAAUAAAAGAGUGAGGAAUUAAGGAUAAAAGUAUUCAAAUCUGCCUAAUUUCAGGAAUCAAAGAGUUGAUUCACGAAAUGUCAAAGUCAGAGUGAACAGUGACUAGGAAAAUGGUUUUUUUAACAAAAAAUAAGAAGUUAAGAACAGAGGUAUACUGACUAAUGAAGUUUUAAUCCCACAAGUAAUUUUACAAGCUUUUCCCAGAGGUUUUAGGUGAAAUACUGGGGACCUUUUAAGCGGUGAAAAUCUCCUCUCAAAUUUCUAUGGUUUUUGUUACUAAAAUGAAAAUAAAAUUUUAAAAAAUAAAAAAAAAUGAAGCCAAUUAAAAUAUGCACAUUUAAAUUAUGUAAAAAAAAUGAAUUAAGUGACUAAAAUUUUAAAUGGUAUGAAAGAAUGUAAUCAACAUUUGGGAUAUGUAUAGAAUAUGAGCUCAUGUUGAAUAUGAGUAUGAAUAAAAAAUUCAAAUUUGUUUGAUAUAUACGAAGGAAUGUAAAUAAGUCUAGAAUGAUUAAAUUAAAUAAAAGAUGUAAACAAUAAUUAAUAGGACAAGGUUGGUUAAGUAGUUUACCACAGUUAAUGCUUCUUUCCCGAUUGGCCCAUUAUAAAAUUGAAAAUUUUUUGCAUCAGUUUUGGUUGCGGCCCUUCUUCCUCUGCUUCCUCGUAUAUAUUACGUUUUCGUUUUAUGUGAGAAGUGCUACCUACUAAUGGAUAAUCUUUUUGAGCAGAGUGUUGGUGGAUGUGUUCAAAAUUGGGAGAAGAUUGAGUGGUAUGUCACUGCAACUCUUUUAUUUCUUCCAAAUCUUUCUCAUACACUAUUCUAAUACCACACUUGAUCUUCACCUUACCGCCUCUAGAUCUACCUGAGAAAGACAUCCGGAGCUCAUCGUAUUUUUUAUCUAAGCAAUUUAUUGUCCAUAAAUUAUUGGUUUUACAGUCACCAUAUUUAUCCUCCAUGGAAAUUGGAUAUAAUAUAUGCUUUAUCCGCCAAAAACAAAGAAAAAGAUGAUAUUUAAUUAUGGGCAGGUGAAAUCCUCUAUCCACCGACGAGUUACUCCAAGCAAAAUUUAGAGAAAUUUUACCUCGAUAUAAUUUAUGGGUGGCUUGUUGAAAAUUUCUAUACAAGAUAGAUCCAUUACAACUGAUAAUCUCGCUUGAAGCAUCAUUAUCGACAAAAAUGCAGCAACAAGCAACUCCAAUCCAUUGACUAUCAUUCCGAAGGUUGAUAGGUUAGGGUACCUAAAUUGAAGAGCCACUUUUUUGUUGGCCAAACCAUUCUGGGAUUUCACUUCCGGGCAUAACAAUAUCAAACGGUUUUCUUGAAUUUGCAAAUGCCUGCAAAAUAAAACACAAGUCGUUUGGCAACUAAAACCAUAAAUUCUCAAGUAUGAGAUUUUGUAAGGGAGAAAAAAUAGAGUAAUCGACCUUGUUAGGAUCGUCUCGAUUAAGCAACGAACAAGUAAAAAUAGUAGAAGAAAUUGAGAAGAUGAACACACAAAUUUAACGUGAAAAAACCCCUCAAAAGAGGAUAAAAAACCACGGGCAAAGAUAAUUUUACUAUAAUGGCAAAAGAAUGAAGAGUACAAAAGAUGGAGAUAAAAACUAAACCCCGAAAACCCGAAAAACAAAGAACCCUCAAACGUAAACACAAAAUUCUCUGAAUGUGUUAUGAGUUCUAAUCUAAUGGGUGUCUCAUUUUCUAAGAUUGUAAAGAAGCCUAUUUAUAGGCUAAAUUAGUAAGUCAAAUAAACUAUACUAAUAAAUGCUAAAUAUAUUAUACUAAUAAAUACUAAAUCUUCUAGAAAGAAAAUAUAUUUUUGUUUAACUUGACUUGCAAGCAAUCUCUUAGAAUUUGGGUCACACAAUUCUAACAAUCUCCACCUUGACACAAAUUCUUUCAAUGCCAUCUUUGCCAAAACCCGCCACGGGCCUAUCUUGAACUAUGCAGGGAAUUAACUGAGUCGAAUCUAUGCUUAGAAGCUGGAAGACUUCUAGCCUUCGACUUGUGCACUGCCAAAUCAAAACUAACCCAGGUCUGAUUUUCACGAAUACAGUGCCCUAACUUUUCAAAACCUGCAUCCAAAAGAGAACCUCUCUUCAACGAAACGGUCAUACCUUUUUCCCUCCUAUGACCAAGUUGCCUCCGCUUCAAAUGAGUUGACUUUGACUCCGUAACGGACGAGGGACGUCCGAUUUCACCGGUCACUGUAGAACCUUCCAGAAUAUAAAGACUGCCGGUUCUUUUACCUUUUAACAAAACGAGAGCUCCACGAGAUACUUUAAUGUCGCUCGACUCGAUGUUGAUUCUGCAUCCUUUCAAGUCUAAAAUACUCAAGGAGAUGAGAUUCUUUCGUAAAUCAGGUACAUACCUGACAUCUGAGAGUGUCCUAAUCGUCCCAUCGUGUAUCCUAAUUUUAACAGUACCAAUACCGAUUAUUUUACUAGAUGAAUCGUUUCCCAUGUGCACAACUCCACCUUCAACUGAACUGUAUGUGGAGAACCAUUCUCUAUUGGGACACAUGUGGAAAGAACAUCCUGAAUCUAGGAUCCACUCAGACGUAAGCUUGGAGUUAUCGCUCGUUGACACUAACAAGAAAUCAUCACCACCUUCAUCGACCAAAUUAGCACCAGCUACAUCUUCCUCGUUACUCUCAGCAGCUCUUUUAUUUCGCAGUUUAUAACAAUCUGCUUUGACGUGACCUAACUUUUUGCAAUAGCGACACCUUUUGUCUCGUUUCUUUGAUGCUACCAAAACGGAAGCUUGUCUAUCUGCUUUGCUAUUCAAAUCAAACUCAUUGUCGAGUUUGUCUCUACUCAACAAAUGACCCUUCACAUCUUCGAACGAGAGUUUGUCUCUGCCAUAAAUCAGGGUCUCCCUGAAAGACUUGUAUGAAGAGGGUAAAGAGCACAAUAAUAGCAUAGCUUGAUCUUCAUCGUCAAUAUAAACCUCAACGUUCUUUAAAUCAUUUAAAAGAGUAAUGAAUUGACUGAUGUGAUCUUUAAGAAGCUCACCUUCGUUCAUGCGAAACGUAAAUAGACGUUGUUUCAACACUAAACGGUUAGCCAGAGACUUAGUCGAAUAAAGAGUUUCUAACCUUUUCCACAAGGCGAAUGAGGUUUUCUCCAUCAAUACCUCCUGUAAUACUGUAUUCGCGAGGCACAACUGGAUUGCAGACAAGGCCUUUUCAUCAAGCUCUUCCCAUUCUGUUUGAUUUAGAUUCUCAGGCUUUUUCCCUGUAACAACCUUUUUCAAGCCAUUUUGAACUAGAAUUGCCAUCAUCCGAACUUGCCACAGAUUGAAAUUUGUCUCACCAUCGAACUUCUCAAUUUCAAACCUUGUUGCUGCCAUAUCUGACCGGGCUGAUCCAUGAAAGUUAAACUAGCUCUGAUACCACUUGUUAGGAUCGUCCCGAUUAAGCAACGAACAAGUAAAAAUAGUAGAAGAAAUUGAGAAGAUGAACACACAAAUUUAACGUGGAAAAACCCCUCAAAAGAGGAUAAAAAACCACGGGCAAAGAUAAUUUUACUAUAAUGGCAAAAGAAUGAAGAGUACAAAAGAUGGAGAUAAAAACUAAACCCCGAAAACCCGAAAAACAAAGAACCCUCAAACGUAAACACAAAAUUCUCUGAAUGUGUUAUGAGUUCUAAUCUAAUGGGUGUCUCAUUUUCUAAGAUUGUAAAGGAGCCUAUUUAUAGGCUAAAUUAGUAAGUCAAAUAAACUAUACUAAUAAAUGCUAAAUAUAUUAUACUAAUAAAUACUAAAUCUUCUAGAAAGAAAAUAUAUUUUUGUUUAACUUGACUUGCAAGCAAUCUCUUAGAAUUUGGGUCACACAAUUCUAACAGACCUUAAGAUGUUUUUCCGGCAGUAUUAAUGCAUUGAUAUUCUCAGCCAAUUUGAAGCAGCUAAUGGCUUUAACGGUAGCCCCGUACACUGGAUUGCAUAUUAAUGGACUUGGAACUACUUCAAGUGAAUAACAACCAUCUAUCCCCACCUCUUUUAUACUUGGUAGCUCAGGCAACGAUUUAAGCAUCUUGCAAUCUGACAAGUGACAAUCUAAUAGAAUGAAGCUUGGAAAAUCGAAUAAUAGAUGCAGGUAUGUUGAUGAAAUUGUUACCACUAAGACCAAGAUCUGUCAAGGAGGAUAGGCAAGAAAUAUCACGUGGAAUAUCUCCUUCGCCAAGAUUGCAGUCCCUUAGCUUUAACUUUCUUAAGGAACUCAAACCUGACAACGAAGGUAACAUCGGAGCCAUGGAGUUUGUCCUUCCUCUUCGAUUAACUUGAAAAGAGAAGGAAGAUUUUGUUGUAACUUACCCUUGUCCGAUAGUUAUAUUUUAUCAUAAGAUUCUUAUGCAUAUCAGAAUAUGGGUAUUAAUAUAUGAUCCCUUAGAAACUCUUUAAUUACAUAAAAAAAUAACUUUUUAAAAAAAUAUUCAUACCCGUAUUAAAAUAUGAGCAAAUCCAGACUGUCACCUUCAAUUCACCGUCAACCUAAUUCUAAGAAUGACAUUUAUGUAAUAUUUUUGUCAAACCCAAAAUAAUUCAUAAUUAUCAAAGAAAUUUAUAACUUAAAAAAAUUUAAGGUUCAAAUCUAAAAUGAUGUAAACUCAAGAUGAUUUGAAUUAUCACAUAAAAAUUGAACUCUACCUCAAACCUAAAAUAACUUAAAUUCAAAUUUAGUUAAAAAAAAACUUCAAACUUGAAUUGAGAAAUCUACAUAUAUCUUGUUUUCUAACUAUUUUUUAGAUUUAUUACACCUUAAAGAAAUAUAUUACUUGGGAAAAAUAAAGGGGUUAGUGAGAAUGAGGGUGAUAGAGGUUAAUGUGAACAUGAAUGAUUAAGUCAGUAAGAACUUUGUAUAGCAUGGGGAAUUACAAAUGUAUACUAUAGAUAUUUGUAAACAUUUCACCCUUUCUAAUUAUCGUUUUCUGCUUAUUGGGUAAAUAAAAUAAAAGUUAUCCAAAAUUCCUUUUUAGAAUUUUUUUUUUUGACUCUUUUGUGAAUAUAAAUGAUCCAUGCAUAUUGUUACGUAAACUGUCAUAUUACUGUCAUUAAAAUUUUGACAAUAUAGAUAACUUUUUCAUUCAAAACAAAACAAUUUGACUAAAUUUUAAUGACAAAAUGAAUAAAUAUUAAGGGCUAAAUUUAUCUUUAUGCUAAAAACUUAAAGCCAGAUUUGAUUCGGUCCAUAUUAACUCAACUCACUCAAUUGACAUAUCUACAUAUAUCUCGUUCUCUAAUUAUUUUCUGCUUUCCAAAUAUUAUCAAGCUCCAGCUUGACUCAAAAUUUAAAGCUUGAUAUCCAGUUCAAGCUAAGCUCAAGAUAUAAUCUAGUUGCUCGAGCUCGAAUUCAAAUAAGCUUAUUUAUCAAUUUUUGUACUCAAACUCGAACUUGAUUAAACUUGUUUAUCAAUUUUCAUACUCAAGAUCGAACUUGAGCUCGAGCUUGACUCGAUAAUUAAACUUAAGGUUAAUAAUAUAUAUAUUAAGUAAUAAUGUAAUUUAAUAAAAAAAUAUUUAAAAUGUAUGUUAAAAUUGAAAAGCUCAGUAAGGCUCGUGAGCUAUUCAAGCGGAGUUUUACUAAGCUCGUAUUCGGUUCAAUUGAUAGCUCAAAUCCGAGCUCAUCUUAAUAAUUAUCAAAUCAAGUUUGAGUUUUUUUCUAUGGCGAACUCCCCCAUAUUGGCGAAUCCUUCAAUAUUGGCAAGUUACCACAAAGUGGCGGCCCGAUUACUUUGGCGAACUAAGAAUAUGAACUGGAUUUGACGAACUUGCAUGCAAGAUAUGUUUAUAGAUUAUGUUUCCUUUCUAGAAAAUUUAUUAUUUAUUAGCAUAAUAUAUUUUUUAUUUAUUAAUAUAAAAUAUUUUUAUUUCUUUCCAUAUUUAGGAGUUUUUUAUAUUAUAAAUAUCUUUGUUUUAUUGUUCAAAUGUUGUGAGUAAAAUAUAUAAAACUUUAGCAAACAAUUUUGUUGCUAAAUUUCUUGUUUAUACUCUAUAACUAUUUCUUCUUUAGUAUCGAAAUUCCAACAAUUAUCAUGUAAUCUAUUAAUUGUUUAUAUUUAUUAAAAGUGUAUCUAUUACACUUUUAAAAACUUACAAUUUUCACGUCAUAAAAAAUAUACAUGUGAAAUUAAGGGUGAAUAAAAUCCAAUUCGAUUCGAAAAACUCGAUAAAAAAUUUAAUUUUUGAAUUACAUAGUUCGAGUUAUUAGAGUUAAUCGAAUUAUUCGGAUCAACUAGAAUAAAAAAUCAUAUUUUUCGGUUUAACUCGAAUAUGAAUUAUACAAUUCAAGUUAUCUGAAAAUCCGAAUAAGAAAAAGUAAAACUAAGUUGUUUUGAUAAAUGCUUACAUUUUCUAAAGUUAAAAGUCCAAAUUUUCGGUUUAAUAUGAAUUUUUUUAACUCGAUUCGACUCAACUCAAUCGAAUAUGUGAAAGAUUAAUAAAUUCAGUGUGAAGGCAGCCUUUAAUUUAUUUAUUUCAGUUUACUUUAAUUCAUUUAAUUUUGAUUAAGAUUAAUAAAUUUAUUCAAUACGCUAUAUUAAACAAAUUAAUUAAAAACUUUAAUAAACGUCAUUCUAAAUUACUAUUUGAAUUUACAUUUUGUAUUAAAAAAAGUUGUAUAAUUUAUAUUACAUUACAUAUUAAAAAGAAGUAAUUAUCUAAUAACAUAACCCAUUUUUGAAACCCCAAUUCGGUCGAGUCUAUUAUUACUUUAGAGUCUGCUUCCAUUUCAACUGGGCAACUUCUGUUGGUCCUCCACUUCCAUGAGCGAACUUCCAUGCUUUUAUUGAUCUAGGCAGUAAACAUAAAGCACCAAGAUCAUUUUCUUGCACUCAGAUCAUCUAUGUUAUUGAUAUUUUGGCUUACCUCAAACCGAGCAGCUUUAGUUAAUCCCACAAGAAACACAACUGUCAAAAUCCUUGCUCGUCUCAACCAAAAACCUUAACAUAUUUCCCUAAACUCUAACAUUAGACAAGACAUACCAAGAAUCAGUGAUAAAUGAAAAGGUUUUCAAUCCCGUUAGAAGAGAUAUUACCACUUAAAUGUAGCAAUUAGUGCAUGUUGCUUUCAAUGAAAUGCAUCUACUUCUAAGCUAAUUCUUACUUUUUAUACAUUCAAACAUAUAUUACUGUUUUCUUAUCUAAACUAUAUCCUUAGCUUGAAUAAUAUUAAUUUUACUUUAAGCCAUGAAGUUUAAAUGAUACUUCUGUUAGCCCUUUUAAGUACUAUUCAGCACCCAUACAAACUACAAAAUGAAGCUAUUAAUUUAAAUACUAAAGAAGCAUGCACUGAAUCACACCUACGCACAUUACAGGCAUCCAAUGGUAUUUUCUCUUAUUAUUCCCUUUUUUUUUCAUAAAGUAUUUAUAUUUAAUAUUAUGUUUGACAUAUAUAUAUGUAUAUCAUCUUCCAAAUAGAUAAAAAACAAUUUUAAUAGAUUAAACUGGACACAUAUCAUAUUUAAUAGAUACAUAUAUAUUGUUAAAGUUGUGUGACCUAAAUUUUAAGAGAUUAUUUGCAAGUUAAGUUAAAUAAAAUAUUUUUUUUUCCAGAAGAUUUAGUAUUUAUUAGUAUAAUAUAUUUAGCAUUUAUUAGCAUAGUUUAUUUGACUUACUAAUUUAGCUUAUAAAUUGGUUCUUUUACAACAUUAGAAAAUUACACCCAUUGGAGAUUAGAACUCAUAACACAUUUAGAGAAUUUUGUGUUUAAGUUUUCUAGAGUUCUUUGUUUUUGUGUUUUCGGGAUUUAGUUUUUAUCUCCAUCUUUUGUACUCUUCGUUCUUUUGCCAUUAUAGUAAAAUUAUCUUUGCCUGUGAUUUUUCAUCCUCUUUAGAAGGAUUUUUCCACGUUAAAUUUGUGUGUUCAAAUUUUCAAUUUAUUCCGUUAUUUUUUAUUUGUUGCUUAAUCGGGUUGAUCCUAACAUAUAUUUAAUCUUAUUAUUCCCCUUGAGAUUGAUCAUUUUCAAUUUAUACAUGGGAUGUUGAAAACAAUAAUAAAUUGAAGAGGAAAAAGAAAACACAAGAAAGCUCAUUUCUAUUCAUAUUUUUUUUUAUUCAAAUCUUAAUAGCUUAUAUUAAAAUAAGAUAAAUCAUAAGGAUCAAAUGAAUUUAAUUCUCAAUUUAUUUCCCUUUCAUAGUUGUUCAAUGUCAUUAUAUGUUAAGAGAAAUGCGAUAAAAUUGUUUGGUUGGAAGUUUAAAGGCAAUGAUCUUGAAGGAUAUCCUUUCCAAUUUAAAAGUUGUAACUCAUUAGAAAGAUAUUUGAAAUUAUCACAAUUUGAGUGAAAAAGGACUUUGAAUAAUCUCAACUUUUUUAUCUUUGAAAAGGUAUCAACACUCAAAUUGAACUUCUUGUUCAAUUCCCUGAAAACAAUGGACAAAAUAAAAUUGAACUUUAAAAUAUACAAAAACAUUCAAUAUAUCUAAUACUUGUAUUUGAUGGAUAACCACAUUCGAUAUUGAAAUACAAUCCUUCAACAGCUUUUUAAAUACAUGAACCUCAAAAAAGAACAACUAGACUUAAUCAUGUCAAAAACAUUUUCACAAUUUACUUUAAAUUACAUAAACCUAAAUUUACUAAAAUUAAUAUUUUAAUUUAUAUUUAGGGCAUUCAUAAUGCGUAUUUUUAAAUAUUUUCAAUGAACCAAAUAAUGUUUUAAUUUAUAUCAGUAUAGUCUCAAGGGCAAAAUCAGAAAAAAAUUUUAAGGGGUCGAAAUUAAAUUAUAAUUUUUACGAUAGAAAAAAAACGCUAUUUCACCAUUUUAAUAGAUUAUAUCUUUAUAAAAGGACCAAAGUAUAAUUUUACCUGUACAGCCCAAAUUUUCCUGGGCCUCCAAACCAAAUGGUUAACCCAAUCUCGAAGCCCAAUUACAAUACCCGGCCCAAGGCCCAAAAUCUAAAUUGGCCCAAUUGGGCCCAAAAAUUAAAAAACAUCAGGGAACCCUAGGGUUCCCUGCCUUUCCCAUGUGCGCUGCUCCCUCGGGCGUACCAUCCGCGCCUCGUCCCGAGGCUUACCUGACACCCUAGCCACCGCCAGCCAAGCAUUGCACCAAAAUAGCAAGCUCUUCCUCUGCUGACCACCUGCAAGAAAAGAGAAAGAAAAGACUACCGAAUAGAGGCAGAAACAACAACAAGUAGCAGCGAAAGUAUUGUAUAUUGGUUAUAAAAAGUCAAUACGAUUUCUUUGUAACAGAUGGGGGGGUUUUGGAUUCUCUUUUCCUUUUCUUUUGUAAUAUUUUCACAGAAAUAAGAAACAAAUAUCAAAGGUGAUUUUCGGCCCUUUUCGUUUUCGUUUUUACAUAUUUUAACCUUUUUAUUGUAUUUUUUUUCUUUUGGUUCAUCUAUUUAUAUACAUAUAAUAAAAAUAAAGAAAAAAAGGGGAGAGACUCACCGGAAAUAGGGCUUGAAACGCCAGUUUUCUCACUUGAUCGGCCGUCGGUUUAACGCCGGCGCGGCAGGCGGACGAGCGGUGGUGAGAAGCCCGAUCGACGAGAGACAUGGGGGGCAUUAAGAGGAUUUCUGAUUUUUUUCUGAUGGGGAAGGAAAAAUGAAAAGAAUUAAAAAAAUGGGUUUAAAAUAGAUAAAUGAAACGGCGCCGUUUUGAUGGGGUCAGGAAAGCCCCAAAAUGACGUCGUUUUGGGCUCCUGACCUGAGACCUGACCCUCCUACCCCAGGGGAUCCGCGUGUUUUGACGGAAGGGCUAAUUGCACGUUUAGCCCUUCCGCUUUUUAAUUAUUUUUAAAUUAGGUUUUUUAUAUUUUAAAUUUACCCCGUUAAUUUAUUGCGCUUUCAAUAUUAGUCCCUUCUGAAACUACGUCGUUUUAAAGAAGAAGGACAAAUUUCCUUUUUAGCCCCUCCAUGUCUUUCACGUAUUCAGAGUAGUCCUUCCUCUUUUGUUUAUUUGUGUUUUGAGCUCCGAAUCUUGUUUUAAUGUUUAAUCUAAUCCUUUUGUUAUUUUGUUUAUUUUCUUAAUAAAUUUCAUAUUAUUAUUGCUUUUAUAUAUAUAGGAGUAUAUCUUUUUCUUUAUAUUUUUACAUAUAUACUUAUAUAAAUAAUUUUUAUAUUUUAUGAUAAUUAUAUACGUAUAUAUGUACAUAUUUACUUAUAUAUAUUUUAUAUAAUAAUUUUAGAAUACAUAUAUACAUAUAUUUUUCAUGUUUUUAUAAAUUUACGUACACUCAUUUUUAUAACGUAUAUACUUAUAUUUUAUAUAUCUUUGUAUUUUAUAAUCUAUAUACAUAUGCAUGUAAAUACUUAUAUUUUUAUAUCUUAUAAUUUAUAUAUAUUCUCAUAUUUACAUAAUUUUAUGUAUAUAUAUACAUAUAUAUUUCCCUUAAAUGUACAUACACAUGUUCAUAUUUUAUAAUUUUCAUCUAUUUUCCUUUAUUUUUUUAUGUUCAUUUAUGUAUUUAUUUAUAUGUCCAUUUUCAUGUUUUAGUUUAUUUAUUUAUUUAUUUGUUAUGGUAUAUACAUAAUUUUUUUAUUAUUUGUUUUUUUGCUCAUAUUAUUUUUGUUCACAUUAUCUUUUUUUUUCAUUAUGCAUAUUAACACCACACUUCAAAAAAGAAAAUUUUUCUAAAUGAGGCAAUAUUUAGCGUUUGGAAAUUCGAGAAAACGUGCCCUAAGGUGGUGGGUGUCGAUUUUUCUCGUUCAACCAAAUGGCUUAAUAUCCUUUUAAAAAUUUGUAAAAUAAGGCAAUGUUUUGCGUUUGGGAAAUUCGAGAAAACAUGCCCUAAGGUGCUGGGUGUCGAUUUUUCUCAUUCAACCAAAUGGUUAAAUAUCCUUUUAAAAUAUUUUCAAAAUAAGGCAAUGUUUUGUGUUUGGGAAAUUCGAGAAAACAUGCCCUAAGGUGCUGGGUGUCGAUUUUUCUCAUUCAACCAAAUGACUAAAUAUCCUUUUAAAAAUUUCGAAGUAAGAUAAUAUUUUGCGUUUGGAAAUUUAAGGAAAUGUGCCCUAAUGCGCUGGGUUUCGAUUUUUCCAUUUGACCAAAUAGCCAAAUAUUCUCUUAAAUCUUAAUCCAUGUCAUUCAAGUUUUUUUAGGAUCGUAUUUUAAAUCUCUUUAAAGUUUUCAAUUUUUCGACACUAAGACAUUGAGUAAUCAACUAGGUACCAAUUUUGGGCGUAUCGAGGGUGUUAAUCCUUCCUCGUGCGUAACCGACUCCUGAACCCGUUCUUCUGAAUUUCGUGGACCAAACUUGUUGUUUUAAUAAAAUCAAACCAUUUAUUAAAAACAACAUUUUUUCAAGGUGAUCCGAUCACACCUCAUCAAAAAGGAUCGGUGGCGACUCCUAUUUUCGUUUUCAUUUUCCAAAACCCAAGUCAACCCCAUUUUCAUAAAAAAAUGGUGUCAACAGCUUGGCGACUCCACUGGGGAGUUUAAAUACGAGAGUCAAGCCACGAGUUGAUUACUUUUUUUCUUUUCAUCGAAAAUUAAAGAUUUGGUUUAAAUUUACGAUCCUUUCAUUGCAUUUCAUUCAUUUCAAUUUUUUGAUUUGAUUGCUGUGAUAAUUUAAGUUUGGUAUACUGCUGUAUUGCAUUCCAUGACCGUGGGUCACACCCUCUUAAGUGGGAGUGAGAAACUAGUCCUUCGUGAGGUUUUCACCUCCGUGCAGGAUAGUGGAUCGCUUUCGGGAUACAUCCGUACCUAUGUCUUCGUGAGAUUUUCAUCUCCGUGCAGCCAUAGGGAAAUGUAUUCCCCUGAACCGAACUCAGUCUGUAUGAGCCUAUAAUGGGUGAAGAUCGAGGAAUCUGCUGGUUCGGGUACCUUAUCUUUAGAACCAACCCUCAUAUAGUGGACUUAGGAACUUAACCUAGGUAGAGCCACUCCAAAUCCCUAGUAUUUACCUGAUUAGGUAUUUUUUGUUUUUCGUGCUUGCUUAUGUUUUGUACCAACCCCUCUUGUUGUGUUUUGAUUAUGAUUGCAUUGCAUUGAAUUUGCAUCUUAGGAAAGAGAUAUGGAUUCAAGUUCGAUUACUAAAUUAGAAAGCUUGUCAUGGAAUACGAAUUCCUUGAUAAAGUGGGAAAUAAUACGACUUCCCGAAUAUAUUCUGAGGAACGCAAGAAGGGCGAUGGAAGAGUUCGUGACCCUACUUCGUAGCCUGAGGAUUCAAGGCGAUUGUCUAAGAGCCUUCGACGUUCCAAGAAGCUGACGAGCCUUAUGAAGAUAGGCAGAUGAUGGAUCGCGACCAAGAUCAAAAGAAGGAGCUAGCAAUGGCAUCUAUUGGCGAGAUUACCUCAAACAUGCGGAUGAAGAAAAAGACCGAUGUUGUUUCUUGGAAUAUGAGGGUGAGGCCGUACAUGCAUUUGCUUUAUGUAAAGGAAUUUGCUUUCUAGAAAAGUUUCCUAAAUGUAAUUGAAUUAGAAUCAACGUCUCUUUAGGCAUUCAUUUCAUGCAUUUACAUAUCAUCAUAUGCAUUAAAGUUUUAAAAAGGGAGCCUAAUUAAUUUAAAAUUAUGACAGAGUUACCCUGGAAACUAACAAAAAUUUGCCAACCGUUUAUCACUACGAUACCCGUUGCAAGACAAAAGCCAUGGAUCAAAGAUUCGAAAGACUCGAACAACUUCAAAAGGAGAUGCAGGAACAAAUGAAAGUGCGGUUAGAGAAGAUUCAACAAGAUAUGAGGAACGAAAUGAUAGAGUCUCAAAAAAGCAUGAUAGCUGAAUUGACGCAGUUGUUGAAAGGGGGAAACGACAAAGGAAAGGACCCCGUGGUUAAUACAGAAGAAGGAAAUAAUGAUAACCCUCUCUAUCCCCCAGGUUUCACCCCUCCGCACGCGCAAGCUCAAACUGAGGCGUACCUACACAAAUCCCCUAUUAGACCUCAGCUAUUUCCGAUAGGCACCUCGAUGCCAAUAAACUUCCAAAUUGGAGUAAGCUCUAACCCCGGAGAAAACCCUACCAAACCUAUCAUCCCAGAUAUCGACGAAGUGGCUGAGAAAAAGAAAACGACAGAAGGAUUGCCAAAGCAGUUAGAAGAAAGAUGCAAAUGGCUCGAGAAAAGGUUCAAGGCCAUGGAAAGCAUUGAGAAUUAUCGAGGGAUUGAUGCUAAAGACUUAAGCUUGGUCCCAGAUCUGGUACUGCCCCAUAAGUUCAAAAUGCCAGAAUUUAAGAAGUACAAUGGGACUAGUUGCCCGGAGGCACAUAUUACUAUGUUCUAUAGGCGUAUGGCUGGAUACGUCAACAACGACCAAUUGCUCAUACACUACUUUCAAGAUAGCCUCACAGGGGCAACGUCUAAGUGGUACAAUCAAUUGACGCGUACCCAGAUUAGUUCUUGGAGGGAUUUAGCACAAGCCUUUAUGAAACAAUACAGUCAUGUAGCUGAUAUGGUCCCUGACAGAAUUAUCCUGUAAAAUAUGGAGAAAAAGCCUAAUGAAAGUUUUAGGCAAUACGCACAAAGGUGGAGGGAGAUUGCCGUACAAGUUCAGCCACCACUCCUGGAAAAAGAGACAACAAUGCUCUUCAUCAAUACGCUGAAGGCCUCGUCCAUUACGCAUAUGUUAGGAAGCACAGCAAAAAGCUUUUCUGACAUAGUUAUGAAUGGUGAAAUGAUUGAGAAUGCUAUAAGAGCCGGAAAAAUUGAGGUGGAAGAGAGUGAUAAGAGGUCAACCCCAAGGAGAAGAGAAAAUGAGGUGAACAACACAGGUUACUCAAGGUCAGUAAGUCAUCCAAGUAAAGGGGUCGCUAGUCAACAAGGUUCAUCAAGACAAGAAUCUUAUGUGAAACAAGGCACUAAGAACCUCCAAUUCACGCCAAUUUCGAUGUCGUAUAAGGAGCUGUAUCAAAGCUUAUUCAAUGCGCGUAUUGUCGCCCCUCUCUAUACGAAACCUCCACAGCCUCCGUACCCCAAAUGGCACGAUGCGAAUGCACAAUGCGAGUAUCAUGUGGGAAAUACGGGGCAUUCCAUAGAAAACUAUAUUGCCUUUAAGAAAUUGAUUGAAAGGCUUAUCAGUAUGGGCGUCGUUAAAUUUGAUGAUUCCUCCAGUGCAGAAACUCCAUUACCCAAUAAUAAUUUAUAAGUGGAGUGAAUGCAAUGCAGAAGCAACUGAAGAAGGGACCUUGUUAGAUAUUUUCCCUUAUAAACGUGGAAGUGUUCUAAGCAAUUCGACUGCGGAAGAAAACCCUAUAGUCUCUAGAGCCUUUUAAAGUAAUGUUCAGAACAUUUUUGUUGUUCUUAGCCUAGAAAUGAUAGAAAUUCCUUUGUGAAAUAGGCUUAUGUCUAAACGUUAUUAUUUUAAUGAAAUACAUCUUUACGAUUAUUUUUGAGCCGAUAUUUUCAUUCUUUAUGAAUAAUUCUAUACUCUUUCAUUCUUUUGGAUUUUCUUCCAAACCAUCAUUCAUUCAUAAUAUAUUGUAAAUAAUCAUUCAUAAAUUUAUACAUUCUUUUGUAUAUUCCUCAGUGCUUAUUAUGGGUCCCCAGAUAUCAAUGACGUGAAUGAUUCUGCUACAGACCCAGAUUUUCCUUUUGAGCAAGGCAUGUGUUCAGAGGGAUCUCAGGACUUUGAAAAUGACAAAGAUUGUAGCUUACCUCCGGACUUAUUGAGGAUGGUUGAGCAGGAGGAUAGACAGAUCCUACCUCACAAUGAAUCAUUAAGAAUUCUGAGCUUGGAAUUGACUUGUCCUAAAAAAUGAAGCAAUACCUUGUUCAAAGAGGUCUUUGUAGGAUCAUACCAGGAUAUGUUGGGUUAAGCACUGAUAAUGAAAUCUGCACAACAGCACGAUGUCAAAACUUGUAUGAAUGAUACAAUUCUUUGUCGGGGCAAUGUCGUUCUCGUCAAUUCAGCAUAGCUUUGCCAGUUUGAAGUCGAGUUUCUAUCCCUUCAAGAUGUUGUUGGAUUUUAUCCCGAUGGAAGAGGAAGAUCAAAAGUUUCCAGUUGUAGUUUCACCCUAAAAGGCUCUAUAAAGGAAAUCCAAUAUCAGAGAAGAUCCUUUGAAAGGGAUAACAAGGACUUGCCUAAUCCCAAGAGUUCAAAUCCGAUUCGAAAAAGGAAAAAGAAAAGAAGAAAAAAUCAAAAUCAAGAUCAAAAUGAAAAUGAGAAAAAGAAAGAAGAAUGAAAAAAGAGAAAUCUAGAUGAAAAAAUCAGAAUGAAAAAGAAAAGAAAAAGAAAAGGAGAGGCCAAAGCGAAAACCCGCAAAGGGCACUCUGAGUCAAAAAAAAAGAAAAAAAAAUGAGAAUGAAAAAUGAAAAAUGAAAAUGAAAAAUGGAGAGGCUAAGGGGAAAACUCGAAAAGGGCACCUUAGGCCAAUGGGGAUUUGAGUUGAAAACCCGAAAAGGGCGGCUCAAAUAUUUGUUCAGAAUGGGGCAUGAGGCGAUUAGAGCGAUUCAAAUUUUGAUCAUAUUGGGGCAUGUGGUGAUCUUGCUAUACCUGAAUCAACAGGAAGGGAUAGGCGACAUCUUGGGGCAUCGACAAAGCACUGUAGAUCUCCUAAACUCAUGUCAAACUCAAAAUGGUCUUUAGAAAGCUUGUACAGAGAAGUUCAAGCUGCAAUAUCUGAGGCACCCAAUUCUCAUAUUAUUUUUUGUUCUUGGAAUACCUUUUUUCUUUUCCAAGAUAUACAUUCCCAAUCAAUUUCUUUGUCAUCCUUCUUUACUAUUUUUUGAAUAACUUGAUCUUUCGAGCUAUGCUCAGAACCAACUUUAUUCUUAUCCAUUGUUAUGACCCUUUUUGCAAGCAUGUUGCAUUGGAAUAAUGAAUAAUUGACUAAUAAAACUUUCACAAAGGAAGUUUUGCAUAUUACUCUGAAAAGUUUCUAAAUAAUAUAGGAGCCUGAAGCAGGACUAUUGUUUAGAACACACCAAUUUUAAAGGUUGGAAAUUUGAGAAGGAAUAGUCUAAAUUUAGACUUUCUCUUUGGAUUCAUGUUUUCAAAUACGUUGAUUGACAAGACGCCAUGUUGGUGACAAAGCUUACAUAAACAAGCAAACGAUGAUCACCAGGCAAGAGGAAGAGGUUACCUCGGAGAAAAGAGCCCUCAUUUGCGCAUAAGUAUUUGGUACGACACUUUGAGAAUGGUGUAAGAAACCAGAAUGAUUCAGAUCAUGUAUCCUUGAAUUGUGAUAAGAGAUGAUUGAGGAAAAGCCAUAUUUCUACCCUUGGAUUAUAGUUGGAGAAUGAUGGUACAAGUUCUGUGCCCCAUGAAUUAAACUUGGAGGGCAACCUGGCUAAAUGUUUCUUCAGAAAAGCCAGUCAAGCGAGAAGGCAUCGUAGCACGUCGGUCACAAAGCCUUAAUAAACUUCAAGUAAUGACAACCUAAGCGGGAGCAUUCUUGGAAAGAUAAAAUUCUACAUUCAUGCAAACACCAUUCACACAUGUUUAGUUAGGAGUGUUUGAUUUAUUUUGAUCAUGCCAUCCUAAUCAUUAGGCAUAAUUAGGUUAAUUAGACAGGUCAUGUUUCCCAGAGAACAGAUCAGUGAAGAUUAAAAAUAAAGCCUUGCCUCCAUCGGUUGCAGUGGAGCUGGUUAAAGAAGCAGAUCUUGCCUUCCUGCGUUAACAGCGAAGCAGAUCGAAAACAAAGCCUUUCCUCCAUCGGUUGCAGUGGAGCUAGUUAAAGAAACAGAUCUUGCCUUCCGCGUUAACAGCGAAACAGAUCGAAAACAAAGCCUUGCCUCCAUCGGUUGCAGUGGAGCUGGUUAAAGAAGCAGAUCUUGCCUUCCUGCGUUAACAGCGAAGCAAAUCGAAAACAAAGCCUUGCCUCCAUCGGUUGCAGUGGAACUGGUUAAAGAAGCAGAUCUUGCCUUCCUGCGUUAACAGCGGAGCAGAUCGAAAACAAAGCCUUGCCUCCAUAGGUUGCAGUGGAGCUGGUUAAAGAAACAGAUCUUGCCUUCCUGCGUUAACAGCGAAGCAGAUCGAAAACAAAGCCUUGCCUCCAUCAGUUGCAGUGGAGCUGGUUAAAGAAAUAGAUCUUGCCUUCCUGCGUUAACAGCGAAGCAGAUUGAAAACAAAGCCUUGCCUCCAUAGGUUGCAGUGGAGCUGGUUAAAGAAGCAGAUCUUGCCUUCCUGCGUUAACAGCGAAACAGAUCAAAAACAAAGCCUUGCCUCCAUCGGUUGCAGUGGAACUGGUUAAAGAAGCAGAUCUUGCCUUCCUGCGUUAACAGCGAAGUAGAUCAAAAACAAAGCCUUGCCUCCAUCGGUUGCAGUGGAGCUGGUUAAAGAAGCUGAUCUUGCCUUCCUGCGUUAACAGCGAAGCAGAUAAAAAACAAAGCCUUGCCUCCAUCGGUUGCAGUGGAGCUGGUUAAAGAAGCUGAUCUUGCCUUCUUGUGUUAACAGCGAAGUAGAUCGAAAACAAAGCCUUGCCUCCAUCGGUUGCAGUGGAGUUGGUUAAAGAAACAGAUCUUGCCUUCCUGCGUUAACAGCAGACCAGACUGAAGACCACAGAUCUUUUCUCCCUAAACAGUAGUGGAGCAGAUCGAAGACGGCGAAUCUUAUCUAAGCAGUAGUGAAGCAGAUUUAAGCCACCAGUCCUAUCUCCCUAAGCAGUAGUGGGGCAGGAUAAAGAUGGUAGAUCCUAUCUUCCUAAGCAGUAGUGAAGCAGAUUUAAGCCACCAGUCCUAUCUCCCUAAGCAAUAGUGGAGCAGGUCGAAGAUGGUAGAUCCUAUCUCCCUAAGCAGUAGUGGAGCAGGUCAAAGAUGGUAGAUCUUGCCUUCCUCAGCAGUAGCGGAGUAGAUCGAGGACGGCAAAUCUUAUCUUUCCAAGGUAGUAGGAAGCAAAUUAAAGCCACCAGUCCUAUCUCCCUGAGCAGCAGUGGAGUAGGUUGAAGAUUGUAGAUCUUAUCUCCCUAAGCAGUAGUGGAGCAGAUCGCAUCAAGUCUUAUCUCCCUAAGCAGUAGUGGAGCAGACAGAAGAAACCAAUCCUAUCUCCCUAAGCAGUAGUGGAGUAGAUAGAGUAGAUAGAAGAAACCAAUCCUAUCUCCCUGAAGUAGCAGCGAAAGUAUUGUAUAUUGGCUAUAAAAAGCCAAUACGAUUUCUUUGUAAAAGAUGGGGGGUUUUGGAUUCUCAUUUCCUUUUCUUUUGUAAUAUUUUCACAGAAAUAAGAAACAAAUAUCAAAGGUGAUUUCCGGCCCUUUUCAUUUUCUUUUUUACAUAUUUUAACCUUUUUAUUGUAUUUUUUUCUUUUGGUUCAUCUAUUUAUAUACAUAUAAUAAAAAUAAAGAAAAAAGGGGAGAGACUCACCGAAAAUAGGGCUUGAAACGCCAGUUUUCGCACUUGAUCGGCCGUCGGUUUAACGCCGAUGCGGCAGGUGGACGAGCGGCGGUGAGAAGCCCGAUCGACAGAAGACAUGGGGGCAUUAAGAGGAUUUCUGCUUUUUUUCUGAUGGGGAAGGAAAACUGAAAAGAAUAAAAAAAUGGGUUUAAAAUAGAUAAAUGAAACGGCGCCGUUUUGAUGGGGUCAGGAAAGCCCCAAAACGACGUCGUUUUGGGCUCCUAGCCCGAGACCCGACUCGCCUACCCCAAGGGAUCCGCGUGUUUUGACGGAAGGGCUAAUUGCACGUUUAGCCCUUCCGCUUUUUAAUUAUUUUUAAAUCAGGUUUUUUAUAUUUUAAAUUUACCCCGUUAAUUUAUUGCGUUUUCAAUAUUUUUAAUUAUUUCAUAUUAUUAUUAUUAUUAUUAUUAUUAUUAUUAUUGCUUGUAUAUAUAUAGGAGUAUAUCUUUUUCUUUAUAUUUUUACAUAUAUACUUAUAUAAAUAGUUUUUAUAUUUUAUGAUAAUUAUAUACGUAUAUAUGUACAUAUUUACUUAUAUAUAUAUUUUAUAUAAUAAUUUUAGAAUACAUAUAUACAUAUAUUUUUCAUGUUUUUAUAAAUUUACGUACACUCGUUUUUAUAACGUAUAUACUUAUAUUUUAUAUAUCUUUGUAUUUUAUAAUCUAUAUACAUAUGCAUGUAAAUACUUAUAUUUUUAUAUCUUAUAAUUUAUAUAUAUUCUCAUAUUUACAUAAUUUUAUGUAUAUAUAUAUAUUUCCCUUAAAUGUACAUACACAUGUUCAUAUUUUAUAAUUUUCAUCUAUUUUCCUUUAUUUUUUUAUGUUCAUUUAUGUAUUUAUUUAAAUGUCUAUUUUCAUGUUUUAGUUUAUUUAUUUAUUUAUUUGUUAUGGUAUAUACAUGAUUUUUUUAUUUGUUUUUUUGCUCAUAUUAUUUUUGUUCACAUUAUCAUUUUUUUUCAUUAUGCAUAUUAACACCACACUUCAAAAAAGAAAAAUUUUCUAAAUGAGGCAAUAUUUAGCAUUUGGAAAUUCGAGAAAACGUGCCCUAAGGUGGUGGGUGUCGAUUUUUCUCGUUCAACCAAAUGGCUUAAUAUCCUUUUAAAAAUUUUUAAAAUAAGGCAAUGUUUUGCGUUUGGGAAAUUUGAGAAAACAUGCCCUAAGGUGCUGGGUGUCGAUUUUUCUCAUUCAACCAAAUGGUUAAAUAUCCUUUUAAAAUAUUUUCAAAAUAAGGCAAUGUUUUGUGUUUGGGAAAUUCGAGAAAACAUGUCCUAAGGUGCUGGGUGUCGAUUUUUCUCAUUCAACCAAAUGUCUAAAUAUCCUUUUAAAAAUUUCGAAGUAAGAUAAUAUUUUGCGUUUGGAAAUUUAAGGAAACGUGCCCUAAUGCGCUGGGUUUCGAUUUUUCCAUUUGACCAAAUAGCCAAAUAUUCUCUUAAAUCUUAAUCCAUGUCAUUCAAGUUUUUUUAGGAUCGUAUUUUAAAUCUCUUUAAAGUUUUUAAUUUUUCGACACUAAGACAUUGAGUAAUCAACUAGGUACCAAUUUUGGGCGUAUCGAGGGUGCUAAUCCUUCCUCGUGCGUAACCGACUCCCGAACCAGUUCUUCUAAAUUUCGUGGACCAAACUUGUUGUUUUAAUAAAAUCAAACCGUUUAUUAAAAACAACAUUUUUUCAAGGUGAUCCGAUCACACCUUAUCAAAAAGGAUCAGUGGCGAUUCCCAUUUUCGUUUUCAUUUUCCAAAACCCAAGUCGACCCCGUUUUUAUAAAAAAAUGGUGUCAACAUUACCUUUACUAAUUUAAAAUUUUAGAAAUUUUAAAGGAACCAUAUGAAAAAUUUUUCAUUUUAAGGUGGCCAAGACCUCUGUCAGCCCCUAAUUUCACCAUUGUAUAAGCCCUUAAUUUGUAAAGACCUACAUCUCUCUAAUGUUUUUUUUUUCGAGGAUAAUAUAUUGCUAGAUAAAUUUAAUAAAGAUAUUAGUGAAAUAUGAAGCACUAAAGGUUUUUGACUUUUUUUUAUUGAAUCUUUGAACAUAACAAAAAAUAUAUAUCUUAAUAAUAGACAUCGAUAAAUGUGUAUGCAUAUUUUCUUACUUUUUUUACGGUUGAUGAUUAUACAUUCAAUCAUUUUUGUAGUUUAAAAGUAAUUAAGAAUAUAAAAUAAUUAGAGGACAAAACACACAGGAUGAAAGUACUAGGGAGGUCACUCUAUUAUAGGGAUAGGAUUAAAUUAUUCCAUGUACUAUAAGGGCUAGUUAAUAUAUUAUUAUGGUUUUAUAAAAUAUUAAUUAUCACAUUAAUCAGUACUAAUUAGGCAUUAUAAGAGUUAUUUAAAUCCUAAAAGACUUACUUGUUUAAUUAUUAAUUAUUGUUUAUUUAAUGUAGAGGUGCUGAUGGGCUGGAUUAGGAAGAGUUCGGGUCGGGCCUAAGCAUGAUAGUAACAUAUUUUGUGCUUGUUCAAACCUUGCCUAACCCUAGAUAUGAGCUUAAAAUUUUACCCAAGACCCGCCCAUUUUUGCAAAAGACUAACCCAUGCCCAUUUUAGAUCCGCCUAUAUAAUUUUUUAUUUUUUAAAAUAUUAUAUUAUAGUAUUUUAAUAUUUAAUAAUUUUAUACAUUUUUUAUUUAUUGAAAUUUUUUAUAGUUAUCUUAACAUUAUUUUAAUGUUUACAUUAGAAUAAUAUUAUAUAUUUAGUAUAGGUUUAUUUUUUUAAUGUGUUCUGAAUUAUAAAAUAUAAAGUAUUAUAAACUUAAAAAUUGGCCGAGCUGAGCCGGAUUCAAGCUCGAGCCUGACCUAUAUUUUAGAUAAACUUAAAUUUUUUGUCCAAGUCCAGUUUUGGGCCUAAUAUUUUUAUCCAAACCCUUUCAAAUUUCAAUCGAACCUUCGAAUUUGAGCAAGUAGCCUGACUAAUGAAUAGUUCUAAUUUAAUGUUAUAAUAAAAUUAAAAUUUAAUAUAUAAUAGUCUCAAGAAUCCAUUAAUAAAUUAAUCAUUGGAACCAUUGAUUACUUUGAGCGAAUUUCCAUACUGAUGUUCCUUCAAGUAAGUUACAAUUAUGCCAUGGUUGAAGAUCAUCAGACACCGCGCUGUUCUAUCUGCACCAGCAAUGGGUGACAGAGAUAUCAUAUUCAAAUUAAUGAAUGGAAUAUUAUUUUAAUUGAUAAUAUAAUAAUAUUAAUUUUUUAUAAUUAUGUUAUAUGUUAUUUAUAUUAUGUGGAGUAAAAGUUUUAAAAUUUAUUGAAAUUUGUAAACAAAAUUCAAUAAAUUAAAAGAGCAAGUGUUAAAAAUAAAUGAAUAAAUAUAAAUACUUUACAAAAAAAUAUAAAAUGAAGAGUUGGAAUAAUAUCAUUUGUACUUCAAGCUAUAAAUUUUAAAUGGCACUCUUAUUAGAAGGAAUUAAACCUAUUUAAAUACUAUUCAGUAUUUAUGUUUAAUCUUCUAAAUAUGUAAAAAAUAAUCUUGACGGAUUAAAUUUAACACAUGUUUUUAACUCAAUUGAAAUUAUGAUCUAAUCUUCGUUAAAGGAUUUUCACCUUAUUAUUAUCUAUUUCGACAGAAAACCUAUUUAAUUUGUACUUCAAGCCAUGGAAUUUAAAUAAUUAUUUAUUAGAAGGGAUUAAAUCUAUUUAAGUACCAUUAAGGAUUUAUAUUUAAUCUUUCAAAUAUAUAAAAAUAGUUUUGACUAAUUAAAUUGAACACAUAAAUUGGUCUCUAACAAAAAUAGAAUGAUUUUUAACUCAGUUGAAAUUAUAAUUAAUCCUUAUUAAAGGAUUCUCACUUUAUUAUUACUUGCUUCGUCUCCAUUUUUGUCUCACAAUCUUGUUUCAAGUUGUUUCAUCUUCAACCUACAAAUAAAAUAUAGAUGUAAGUGAAUAUAUAUAAUGGAAAUAAAAUUUUAAUUAAAAAAAAGUGAAACCAAUCAAAAUGUAAACAUUUAGAUAAUGUAAAAAGGAAUGAAUUAAGUGACUAAAAUUUUAAAUGGUAUAAAAAACAAUGUUAUCAACAUUUGAGAUAUGUAGAUGUUGAAUAUGAAUAUGAAUAUGAAAAAAAAAUUUUAAAAUGUUUUGGCAUAUAAUGGAAGGAUCAUAUCUCAUAUGCAAAACAAGUCUAGAAUAAUUGUUUAAAUGGAAUACAAGAUGUGUAAAAAUACAAUUAAUAGGACGAAGUUUGUUAAGUAGUUUACCACAGUUAAUGCUUCUUUCUUGAUUGGCCCUUUACAAAAUUGAAAAAUUUUUGCAUCCGUUUUGGUUGCGGCUCUUCUUCCUCUGUUUCCUCAUAGAUAUUACGUUUUCGUUUUAUGUGAGAAGUGCUACCUACUGAUCCAUGGUUGUGAGCAGAGUGUUGGUGGAUGUGUUCAAAAUUUGGAGAAGAUUGGCUGGUAUCGCACUACAACUCUUUCAUUUCUUCCAAAUCUUUCUCAUACACUAUUCUAACACCACACUUCUUCACCUUAACAUUACGAGAAUUUGGUCCAAGUUCGAUAUUGAAAGACAACUCAAGCUCAUCUUCAAUUUGGUCUAAGCAAUCUGUUGUCCAUAAAUUAGUGGUUUCACAGUCGUCAUAUUUAUCCUCCAAGGAAGGAUAUGUAGCCUAAAAAAAUCAAGAAUAUAAAAUAAGAAAAUAAAAUAAAUAAUGUAUAAUGUAGGAGAAAAAAAGAAAUAGUAUGUAACUUUUGUUGAAUGACUUACAGUGUUUUUUGUUAGGACAUGAUGGACGUCUCUUUCCUCCCACAAUCUGCAACGUUUUCCAGGUUCAUCAAUACAUUUUUCUCUAACAAUUGUUCUUCCCAUCUCUUGUAACAAGUCAUGCAUCUUAAAAUUUUUGUUGUGUUUAUCGACUUUUACGAGAGAUUUUUUAACGAGAACAUCAAUUCCAAUAUCAGGAAAAAACUCACAACCAUCUAAUACUUUGAUUACAAAAUCUUUAUUCUCCCCAUUGAAGAAGCAUGCUAUAUCUAAAAAUAUAUUCUUCUCCCUUUCUUCCAGUCCUUCAAAAUUGAUUCGAAGUUUAUCGAAAAUUUCUUUAUUAGAAUCUCUUUUAAGUCUAUCAAUCGCACUUCUCCAUUGAGUCGCAUCUCUACCGCACAAGAAGGAACCCAAAACUUCAAGAGCUAAAGGGAGUCUGCCAGCAUAAUUUACAACAUGUUUAGAAAGCUCAAUGAAAUCAUCUUUCUGCACUAUAUCACUAUGAAAAGCUUUCAGACUGAAAAGUUGAAGCGCAUCUUUGGGAUUCAAUGUUGUGGGCUCAUACAUAUCAUCAACUGGCCAAGAUCGAAGCAAAUGUUCUUCUCUUGUUGUUACAACGAUUCUACUUCCUAAUCCGAACCAAUCGUGCCUUCCAACCAAGCAUUUUAAGUGUUGUAUGUUAUCAACAUUAUCAAGAACAACAAGAACCUUUUUGUGAGACAACCUAUGGCUAAUUAUGUCACUCCCUUCAUGAACAUCGAAAAAGUUGAAGCAUUCACCAUGAAAGAUCUGUGAAAGAAGUUGUUUCUGUAAAGAAACUAGUCCGCAUUUGUCUGAAACUUCUCGAAUAUCAGCAAUAAAGCUUUUACCUUCAAAAUGAGAUGACAUUUGAGUGUAAGCAACUCUUGCGAGUGUCGUUUUACCGAUACCACCCAUUCCGCAAAUUCCUAUAACGCGGACAUCAUCUUCCCCAAUGUUUAUUUUCAAAUAUAAAUCCUCCAAGCGUUCACUAAUUCCAACCAAGUCGCUAUGAGUAGCUGGAUACGUCUGACAUAGUUUUGCUGAUAUCUUCUUGACAAUGUCUUUAAUAAAUUCUGAUUCAUGCCUAAAAAAAAAGAGAGGAAAAUUUAUUGUUUUGAAUAAAAAUUUGUUGAUAUGUUUCAAAAAAACUUUCUUUUUCAAUGAAUCAUCAAACAUAAUAUAGUUUGGAAGCAAACGAGAACCAAGAAUAAGAAAGCAAGAUCUGUUGUGGAGCCAGAAUACAAAGUUUGCUCUUUUAUUGAAAUAUGACACUUUUCAAUUAAACACAUAGGAUUAGAAAGAAAAAAAAGAUAUACAUAUAUAUGCAAAAAACUAGAAAAUAAAGAAGAAAAGAAAGAAUUACCUGUUAUUUAAAUGCCAUCCCUUGAUUCCAGCCACUUGAAUUAAAGCAUUUCGCCAUCUUUGGAUCUUCUCACUAUCUUCUUUGUAUCUCUCUUUAUGUCUGGCAAAGGCUUCUUCCACUUUCUCUUUUUGUUUUCUUAAAUCAGAUGGACCAACAUGGUAAAAAAUUGGAAACACUUUAUGGCCGUCGUUGUUAUGUUGUUUAACAAUCUCAGCAAGCUCCUCCAAGCACCAACUUGAAAAGGCAUAAGUUUGUGAGAAAACGAUUACCGAGCACCAUGAUUGCUGAAUAGCUUUAAAGAGUUCAGGUGUGAUCUCUUCGCCGGCCUCCAGCUUUGGAUCAUCUCUGAAAGUGACGAUCCCACUCCUACUUAGAGCAUCAUAGAGAUGAUCGGUAAAGUUGUUGCGGGUAUCUUCACCUCUGAAACUCAAGAAAACAUCAUAUUUUUUUCUAGAAAUGGAGGAAGAAGUUGAAGGUAACGACAACAUGAGGAUGUAUGAAAGGAGAAGGAUAUUUCAAUCUGGUGUUCAAAAUCAGAAAAUAAUGAAUAUAUGAGGAAAAACAUAUCAAAAAUAGAAGAGGGCCGGGUGAUAUGUUCUUUCCAUGAAGGUGAGAGUUAAAAAUGUUGGACGGUUUGCAUUUUAUGUACUUAAUGAAAGAUAAUAAUUAAAAACAUUACUUUUCGAAAUGAAAGGGACUAGGUGUGGAAAUUCGGGCCGGGCCUCGGGCACCACUUUUUUGGCCCGGGCCCGGCCCGAAUAUAAUAAAUAUUUUUUUUUAUUUUUUUAAUUUUAAAAUACUUUUAAAAUACUUUUUUUAAAAUUUUUUUAAUUUUAAAAUAUUUUUAAAAUACUUUUAAAAUUUUUUUAAUUUUAAAAUAUUUUUAAAAUAUUUUUUUUUUAAUUUUUAAAAUAAAUUUUUGAUAUUUAUUUAAAAAACGGGCCGUUCCGGGCCGGGCCCGGGCUUAUGAAUUUUUUCUCGGGCCGGGCUUGGGAAAAAUUCUAGGCCCAUAUUUCGGGCCGGGCCGGGCCCGGGCCUAGGACCCAGGCCAAAAUUUUUUCUGUGCCCGGCCCAUGAGCAGCUCUAGUUUGGAGGCAACAAUAGCAGAAAAUUUCAUCUCUGAGCUAACCCAGGGGCCUUUUCACCAUUCUCUCUCUAUCACUCGAGGCUCCCAUCUUCACCACCAACAUCACCAAUACACCCGGGCCUCAUCACUCUCAUCUUCCAUUACCGACCACCAUCCCAAACAGCUCCCCCUCACCUUUGAACCUCUCAAAACAACAACCUCAUUGCCCUCAAGCUCGUAGGUGUGGAAAUUGGGGGAUGAUAGAUGUUCUCUCCACGAAGAUUCUAAGAAAGAGUUCACAAAAUGAACCUAAACUCUAAAAUUCAAACAAAAGUAAACUAUAAAAAUAGUCACUUUUAUUUGCCGCAAAUUACAUUUUAAUCACUUAUGUUUAAAAUGCUAUGUUUUAGCCACUUACGUUAUCGUUUUGUUACGAAGUAGUCACUCUUUAGUUAAGUUCAGUUAUCUCCCUAAUGACAAUCCAACGUGGCAAUCUAAAUGGGUUUUAAAUGACAACUUGGAUUUUCAACUAGGAUGUGAAUAAUUUUUUCAGUUAAAAUGAAAAGGAAAACUAAAAAGAAAAAAGAGAUGAAUGAUUUUUCUUUUCCAGUUCAACAUGUAAUUAAUUUAAAAUUUUUAAUUAAUUAAAUUUAUUUAAUUAAAAACCUAUUGUCGUACCAAUUAGACAUCCAAGUUGGCAUUUAAAACCUAUUUAGACUACCACAUAGAAUUGCCGUUAGGGAGGUAACGGAACUUAAUGGUAGAGUGACCACUUCGUAACAAAACGAUACGCAAGUGACUAAAACAUAAGUGACUAAAAUUUAAUCUAAGUGAAACAAAAGUGACUAUAUUUGUAGUUUACCCAAAAAAAUCAAUCAUAAUUUAAAAAGUUAUAUAAUAUUAAAAUACAUAAUUUUUUUUAAAAAUAGAAAAAUCAUAAACAUAAAGAAGAAUUUUAAAUGGUCUAAAAAUACUAUGUUAUCAACAUUUGGAUAUGCAUUGAGCUCAUGUUGAAUAUGAGUAUAAAUAAAAAAAAUUAAAAAAAAUUUUAUAUAUAAGAAGGAUUAUAUCUCAUAAGCAAAUAGGUUUACAUAGAUGUGUAAAAAAAAACUAAUAGGACAAAGUUGGCCCAUUAUAAAAUUAAAAAUUUUUUGCAUCCGUUUUGGUUGGGGCCCUUCUUCCUCUACUUCAUCAUAGACAUUACGUUUUCGUUUUAUGUGAGAAGUGCUACCUACUGAUCAAUCGUUGGUUCAAAAAUUGGAGAAGAUUGAGUGGCAUAUUUUUAUGUAUUAAUUACAUAUAUAUUUUAAGCACGAUCCUACUAAUUUGGGUUGUUUAUGGUUUUUCAUCUUGUAGGGACUAAAUUGAAGACAAAAGGAAAGGUUUUUCAUCUUGUAGGGACUAAAUUGAAGAUAAAAGGAAAUUUAGGGAUAAAAAGCGUGAAUUUAAAGACAAAAUAGGUUAGCAUGCAAAAUAGAAAAGAAAUGGUGCCGAAAAUACAAACUAUGAAAGACUUGGGGGUAAAAAUUCAAAGAAGAGAUUUAUAAACAUAAGACUCUAUUUAAAUUUAAAUUUUUUAGGAUUAUUAUUUAGAUCUAAAUUCAACUUUUAUCUUUAUUUAUCUUUUAGAGUUUAAAUAGGAACAAACUAGGUUUUUUAUUUACUAUAAAUAAAGGAUGGAGUGACAUAAUUAUUCACUCAUCAAUUAUUGUAAAACACUCAUUUCCCCUAAGGCUUUAGCCUUUUUGUUCCUUUUAUUUUAUUUCCCAAUAAAAUUUCAUUCCAUUAAACUUACUUCGUUUUCUCAAAAAGCAUGAGCCACUAAAUUAUCUAGCCAAAGGUUGUUGAGAUUCCCCAAAAAAGGUUCAUGAGGCUUAGGACCCGCACUUAACAUUCUCAACGAGUAUUCAUCAUUUCUCUGUAUUAUGGGACUGAUGCUUCUGUCCAUGACCUUCUAAAACUGAUUUUUUUAUCUUGUGCAAAGGUAACCUCUUCGUAUAUUUUUGGAAGGUUGCACAAUCGGUUUGUUAACUUACUGCGUCAGAAGUUGUUGAGCCCUAGAGACAAAAUGACGUGGCAUUCGCUAUUGAGAAAUGAUGAUCUAAUGUAAGACGGUCCCACGAAAGUGAUGAUUGGCUAGAGUCAGGUUCCUCUAAAUCGUAAGUAUAAAAUCUAAGUGGAGUUAGUGGUCAUAGGCAUCCUUUUCCACUAUAACUAACUGGCUUAUUCUGUCAUGAGAAGGAUUAUGUACGCCGCUUUUUCUCGGGCGCGACUAUGCCCAGGAUUUCGAGGAACAAGAAGUUGUAGCAAUCCAGUUCCUGAGAAUUUGACCCUACUUUUCUUAUACUAUUCUUUUCAUUAUAGGGAUAGAUUAAUUUUAGUGCUUUCAACAACACACUUAUACACUAUUCUAACACCACACUUCUUCACCUCCAAAUUGCAAUCAUAUGCAUAUAUGAAACACAUCCCAGGCUCAUCGCAAUUUUGAUCUAAGCAAUCUAUUGACAAUAAAUUAUUGAAUUCAUCACAGUCACCAUAUUUAUCCUCUAAGGAAAUUGGAUAUAGUUUAUCAUGCGACCAAUAAUGAAGCAAAAUGUGACCUUUCAUUAUUCCUUUACCCAAGAACGAGCAUCUUUAACCAAGCUAUCUACAAUUUCUACCUUGAAAAAUAAAUCCUCCACAACCGAUAGAAUGUCCUGAAGCAUCAUUGUCAAAAAUGCAACAAGAAGCAACUCCAAUCCAUUGACUAUCUUUCUGAAUGCUGAUAGGUAGGGGUAUCUUAAUUAGAAUAUAAUUUUAAAUACUGAUAAGCUAUAAAAGUAAUAUAUUUUAAUCUCAUUCUUAAUGUAUUUUUCGAUAAUUAAUUAUGUAAAUUAGUGAAUUUGAUGCUCUUAAUAUUUUAAAUUCAUGUUUCUAUACUUAGGAGAGCAUCUCUACCGCAUAAAAAGCAACCCAAAAUUUCAAGAGCUAACGGGAGCCCACCAGCAUAUUUUACAACAUGGUAAGAAAACUCAAUGACAUCAUCUUUCGGCACUGUAUCACUAUGAAAAGCUUUCAGACUGAAAAGUUGAAGCGCAUCUUUGGGCUUCAAUGUUGUGGGCUCAUACAUAUCAUCAACUGGCCAAGACCGAAGCAAAUGUUCUUCUCUUGUUGUUACAAUGAUUCUACUCCCUAAUCCGAACCAAUCAUGCCUUCCAACCAAGCAUUUUAAGUGUUGUAUGUUAUCAUCAUCAUCAAGAACAACAAGAACCUUUUUGCGAGACAACAUAUGACUAAUUAUAUCAUUCCCUUCAUGAACAUUGAAAAAUUUGAAGCAUUCAUCAUGAAAAAUCUCCGAAAGAAGUUGUUUCUGUAAAGAAACUAAUCCACAUUUGUCUGAAACUUCUCGAAUAUCAGCAAUAAAGCUUUUACUUUCAAAAUGAUGUGAUAUUUGAUUAUAAGCAAGUCUUGCGAGUGUUGUUUUACCGAACCACCCAUUCCGCAAAUCCCUAUAAUGCGGACAUCAUUUUCCCCUAUGUUUAUUUUCAAAUAUAAAUCCUCCAAGCGUUCAGUCAUUCCAACCAAGUCACUAUGAGUAACUGGGUGACAUAGUUUUGCUGAUAUCUUCUUAAUAAUCUCUCUAAUAAAUUCUGAUUCAUGCCUACAAGAAAAUAAAUUUUAAUUUUAUAUAUGAAUAAAUUUUUUUUUCAUAUUAUCAAAUGCACUUUCUUUUUCAAUGAAUCAUGAAACAUAAUAUAGUUCGGAAGCAAACAAGAACCAAUACACUUUUCAAUUAAACACAUAGGAUUAGAAAGAAAGAAAAAUGUUAUACAUAUAUAUCCAAAAAAGUAGAAAAUAGAGAAGAAAAGAGAGAGUUACCUGUUAUUUAAAUGUCAUCCCUUGAUUCCAGCCACUUGAAUUAAAGCAUUUCGCCACCUUUGGAUCUUCUCACUAUCUUCUUUGUAUCUCUCUUCAUGUCUAGCAAAGGCUUCUUCCACUUUCUCUUUUUGUUUUCUUAAAUCAGAUGGAUCAACAUCGUAAAAAAUUGGAAACACUUUAUGGCCGUCGUUGUUAUGUUGUUUAACAAUCUCAGCAAGCUCCUCCAAGCACCAACUUGAAAAGGCAUAAGUUUGUGAAAAAACGAUUACCGAACACCAUGAUUUCUGAAUUGCUGUAAAGGGUUCUGGCGCGAUCUCUUCGCCGGCCUCCAGCUUUGGAUCAUCCCUGAAAGUGACGAUCCCUCUCCUACAUAAAGCAUCAUAGAGAUGAUCGGUAAAGUUGUUGCGGGUAUCUUCACCUCUAAAACUCAAGAAAACAUCAUAUUUCUUUCUAGAAAUGGAGGAAGAAGUUGAAGGUAAUGACGACAUGACGAUGAGCGAGAGAAAAAAAUAUGUGGAUGUAGUGUUGAAAAUCAGAAAAUUGAUCGCUCAAUACGUCUGAAAGAAACUAGAAACAGAUCAAAUUUCCAGGGAAGAAUAAAGGUGGUUUCUAAGCAAUUUCUCUAUAACCUUUUCAUUUUCCAAAUGAAUGAGCGUAGUUGUGG